UUUUUUUUCGUAGGUUAACCGUCGUAGAUUUUUUUCGUCGCCUCCCUCACUUCAUCGGUUUAUUUUCACUUCAGCCUCUCACACAACGAAAAAAACUGAACGGAUCAGAACUUUCCAUACCGACGCAAAUUAUUUAGUAAUGUCUUUAUGUAAAAGAAUCAAUCACAAUCAAUCUCUAAAGAUCAAAUCUAAAUUAAUUAAUCUUCAUAACGUUUGUUUCCUUCCGAAUCACGUCCAUAACUUUCCUUCCUUGUUUGGGCAGAAACUGUUUGGUAGCAGAGAUUAGGAAGCUUCCUAUAAGUGUAGUAAUAGGAAGUAUUCUUUUUCUUGAUGAUUCGUUUCCAUACUGACGCAAAUUAUUUAGCAAUGUCUUUAUGUAAAAGAAUCAAUCACAAUCAAUCUCUAAAGAUCAAAUCUAAAUUAAUUAAUCUUCAUAACGUUUGUUUCCUUCCGAAUCACGUCCAUAACUUUUCUUCCUUGUUUGGGCAGAAAUUGUUUGGUAGCAGAGAUUAGGAAGCUUCCUAUGAGUGCAGUAAUAGGAAGUAUUCUUUUUCUUGAUGAUUCAUUUCCAUGCAUGAUGAUAGUAAAUUAGGCCAACAUUCACCACUAUUUAUCAAUGUCAUCAAUCGUAUCCAUUCCUACCAGUUUUAAGGGAAUCUGCUCGCUAUAUCUUUUUUAAGGGGAUCCGCUCGCUAAGUCGUCGUCGCACUUUAUUUUCACAAGCAAUUCCCCUAAAAAGGGCGUGGGUAUUGGUAGUUGAACGCCCGCUAGGUUUUCCGGCUGUCCCAUCCUCGCGCUGUGCCGCCGCCACCCGCCGAAUUUCCAGCCGCCCGAACCCGUUAACUUCGCCAGCCAUCGGGUCGACUGCCCCCGCCCCAUACCCCCAUCCCCGAGCACUAGCUAUCGCCGCGUUGCCGCCCCAAGCUCCACACCACUGGGAACGAAUCAAGCGCCGUCCCGACACCGCCGUCGCCGGCCCAUCACCUCCAGCCUUGCAUGGACAGCUUCAAUGUGCAGUCUCCCUUGCUGCCUCACCUUCUGCCAGCGCAUGCAGCGGCGGGGUUGGACGCGUGCGUGCUUGCUAGCUUGCUCUCCGUGCGUACGUACUUGCUCUGCGUGCGUCGCACCGGCCAAUGCGCAUGAUGCGUAUGUGCCUACUUUUCUGUAUGUGUAUGCCAGUGUGAUGCGUGUGUGCGUUGAUGUGUGUGUAUGAUAUAGAUGGCUCGAGUGUGUGCAUUCUGUGCUCUGCUCUCUGCUGAUCUAUGUGUUGGUGCUCCUGCUAUAUGUUCAUGCCAUACAAAUGAAAUUUCUGUUAAUCUUCUGACAUAUUGAGUUGGUUCUCUCUGUCUUCUGAGGGGGUGAAUGCAAAGCAGUCUAUUAAGCCAGGCACUAUUGCUGAGCUAAAUUGACAAAAAAAUAUUGAUAUCUAUAGUUGUAGUUUAAGUAGUAGCGAGUUGUCUGAUAUGUAUAAAGAGCCCGUUGCAACUGAGCCCGUUGCUAAAUUGACAAAAAAGAUCGCCAGCGUCACUUGAUAUGUAUGAGAAUAUUAAAUGUAUUAUUAACAUGAUUAAUAUUGAACUCUUAAAGUUAAUGUGACCCCGUUGCAACGCACGGGCGUUCUUUUAAUAGGUAGUAGAGAUUUAUUUUCGGAUGUAUAAAACCGCAGGGCACCGGAGAACAUGCGCAUUGAAUACGACUAGUAGCUCAACCGGGGCGCCAACCAUGGAGCUCUGGCAGACUACAAAGUACAGUGCCCGGAUCAGACCGGGCGAUGGGCUCAGGGCCCCACCCGUCAGCCACGUGGUGGAGGCCACGGUCGAGUGCAGCGACGUGUUGCCGUGCCGACCUGGCCCCUAAACAUUCCCAUUCCCGUGAACGACGCUUUACUGACAGGGAGCAGAAGCGCGUGAGAAUCUCCGUGCCCAUCCACCACCCAUUUCCGCCACGCAGCCGCGGGUAAAAAAGAUGUCAAAGCUCACGUACAAGUAGAAAGCCCGACGCCUAACUUAUUACGCGGCCUGCCAAAGUCCAAACACAUUUUGACGCGCACGAUCGGACACGGGCCUAACACACUAGUACACUGGUAGUAGAGGCCAGGUCGGCCGGACUCACCUCCGUCGCGUCGCCGCCGCCGCCGUAGAGCCAGCGCCCGAGCCCCGCCCUCCAGUCCGAGCAACCUGAGGCGCUCGCACACGAGAAUGGGGGAGCAAUUAACCGGUGGAUACGCCACAAAUCACCGACGAGGAAGAGGAAAAAUGGGCUGCGAACGAGCUUCGUUACCGGUGGCGGAAGGGCAGAGGGAGGCGCCGGUCUCGAUGGCGAGGAGCGCGGCGCGGAAGAGGAGCACGCCGGCCAGGAGCCCCGUGACCACAACGGAACGGUAGCCUCGCCGCGCCGCCUGCAGCUGCGGCGCCUUCGGCUUCGUCGCGUCGUCGUCGCCGGCCGCCGCCGUGAUGUACAGCCUCAUUGCUCAGAGUCCUUUUCCUCGCGCGAGGCCGCCGACUCGCCGCCGCUCAUGAACGAACGAGGCUACACGAGCCCACGCUCCAGCUCGAGGAGUCCGUAUGCGCGUGGCGGUGUGGGAACGCGGGGAGGGGGCGAGAGAGGUGCGUGGCGCGGGGAGUUAUAGGCAUCAGUGAGAGAGUGAGACGAGGCAGUGAGACUUGAGACCGGGGGAGGUGGCGAACCGAGCGGCUCCGUCCGAUGUGUGUGUAUGGAAACGGUAGAGCAGCGCGGGAGGGGCGAUGGGAUCUGCCGGACGGGGGAAGAGAGCGACCUGAAAUGCGAGGGGAGGGCACCGACAGUGGCUGAGGCCUGAGGGUGACGCGCGGGGCCCCGGCCCGGAGGCUUGUAGACUGGCUGUGGCGCCUGUGGCUGGCCCGUGGGGGCAGGGCAGGCAUCGGGGCGCCGGUGUGGCUUAUCCGGUGGUGCUGCAUGCCGCGUCGCGCUCGCAGGUCGCAUGCCGCUCGUUAGAUUUACCUCUCGCAUUAUGUGCUUUGUCUGGCUACUGGUUCAGCACACGUACUAUGCGCGCGAAUGGUAUCUCCAUGUGACUGGCUUCUCACUCUUGUGGAAUCUCUUUGCCGAUCUGUCAUCCUGCGCGGUAAAAAAUGGCAGUUCUGCCCCGUUGGGGGUACGGGUAGAGGGUACACGGGCACAAAGUAAAAAUAAAAUUUCCUACCACGUAGAUUAUGAUCAUGCCAGUGUGGCAGUGUUGCAUAUCACGAGAUUUUCACCGGAAGCCUAGACUCGUGCGAUAGGCCUGUUAUGGACAGCCCGGCCCAAAAACCUGGGCCGGGUCGGGCUUCGCAAUCCUCAUUUUCCAGGUUUAUCUUGUUCAUGGUUUCAGGAGGAUUUUCGGGUUUUGGGCUAGGCCUGCACGUGGAGAUACCGGAAAGUGUCGUUCGAGCUGAGCGUCGGGCUUGUAAAAGGAGUGAUUCGAACUUCAUGACAGGCUUCGAGUUUGAAGGUCUAGCUAUUGCAAGCCCGGCUCGAAGCCUGGCCCGUACUGGCGAAUGAUCUGGUUUAUCGUGCGAAUGCGGAUUCGGUCAAGUGUGUUGAUGCAAUUGAGGUCCAACUAAGCUAGAAGGAAAGGGGAUAGAAGUAGAAGCAUCGUAAGGCAGCUUAGGGUGAAACCUUCAUCUCCUCACUUUUUACUGGUGAGCAUGUGGAUUCAUCUCCCCUAGGCCCGUGGCUUGGGCCGCCAGUAACAAAGAUGCAUCGGCUCCAACAUGUAGAUAAGAUAGGAUUUUAGUCCACUUGUGGAGGCGGUGCUCGGACGGAUGGCAGCCCUUCAUCUUUGAGUUUGUCUUCGAGGAUUCGGUCCUCCCAAGUCCACCCGUCGCAACAGAUUGGACUUGAUUCCAUCGUAAUUUUCUACCGGCUCAUCAGGACGACGAGGUUAGGGUUUCUUGUCGUGCGCAAGCGACGUCGAGGUUCAAUGUCAAAUUCUUCAUAUCGAUGUAAGGGUUGCGACUCCUGUUUGUUGAUCCUUAGGAGCACGUGCAUGAAGAUUUCUCAGUUGUCAUCGACGAGGUGAGAUGGCUUCCGCAUGAGAGCGACGAAAGCAGCGCGUCAGUCCGCAAACAUCACUAUAAAAUUCCAUCUAUUUAGUGACAAAAAUCCUAACGACAAAACAGGAAACUUUGUCUAAAAUCAUUUUUUAUGAUGAUCCAUCGUCAAGAGGUGUUUCCUCACGGGCAACACCCUAGCCAACUUCGGCGGUGUUCUGGCCUGUAAUUCUGCGACGCUUUUGGCGUCACUAGGCAUGUCCAUUUUCUUGGACGAUUUGUAGUGUCACACAAAAUGUGUGACGCCCGGAUAAUUAGACUACAGUAAUUCCAAGCUAAUGAUGCCACGUCACCUCCAUUACUGUGAUUACACUCACGUUGAUUCGAAUCCGAUUCAAAUUCAAAUUUAAAACAUAGGCAAACAACAAAAGUUUCCAAACUUUAAAACUAAAAUGUUCGGAGUGAAUUAAAUAAUGCAGCGGUAAUUAUGGUGGAGAAACCAAAAUUUGAUAAAGUGUUUAAAGGCUCUAAGAUAAUUAAAACAGUAGUUAAAACAGUUAAAUACAUGCCUAUUGAAUUUUAUAAAAUAUUAAACUAUUUCAUUUUCGGUUGAGAAUUAAGGUGGCAGUAGUAUAUUUAUAAAUACAAAUUUAGGUGCUAGUGUUUUUAUAAAACUGUAAUAAAAGGGAACUUAAAAUAAAACAGAAAAGAAAAUACAAAAGAGAAAAACUAAACAGACAAAAAAAAAGAAAAGGGAAAAGAACCCCCUCCCCCCCCCGGCUCCGGCCCAGCAGGCCAUCAACCCCANNNNNNNNNNNNNNNNNNNNNNNNNNNNNNNNNNNNNNNNNNNNNNNNNNNNNNNNNNNNNNNNNNNNNNNNNNNNNNNNNNNNNNNNNNNNNNNNNNNNNNNNNNNNNNNNNNNNNNNNNNNNNNNNNNNNNNNNNNNNNNNNNNNNNNNNNNNNNNNNNNNNNNNNNNNNNNNNNNNNNNNNNNNNNNNNNNNNNNNNNNNNNNNNNNNNNNNNNNNNNNNNNNNNNNNNNNNNNNNNNNNNNNNNNNNNNNNNNNNNNNNNNNNNNNNNNNNNNNNNNNNNNNNNNNNNNNNNNNNNNNNNNNNNNNNNNNNNNNNNNNNNNNNNNNNNNNNNNNNNNNNNNNNNNNNNNNNNNNNNNNNNCGCCGGACCGAUCCGCCGCCGCCUGGACCUCGCCUCCUCAUCCCCCUGCUCGUCGGAGCGUCGUCCCCGUCCGCACCCCGAACCCCGCCGCUCGACGCCGUCAUCGGAAGCCACCACGCCGGACCACACCACGCCGCCUCGCCGACCUUCCUCCUCGCCGACGCCGUCGUCCCCGACUCUUCCUCAACACCCGCUGCCACGUACCCUACAACUACGGUGAGGCCCUCGGCCUCCCCUUCCCCUCGCUCGCACACCGUCCCGCACCGGCGCGCGACCACCGCGCGACCACCGCGACUCCCGUCCGCUGCCAUCGACCGUUGCACUCGCCGCAUCGUGGAUGCGCCCGACCCCACCCUGGAGCCGCCCGCGGCCACCUGCCUCCACGCGCGUCCACCGUCGAGCUCCCGCACGCUCUGGACCAUGCUUGGCCGCGCCCGACCGUGGCCGACAGCGCGCGCUCGCGCCCACGCCCCCUCUGACCAAGCCCGACCAUGGAGGGUCUCCGGUCCCCCUUGCUGCUGCCCGCCCGGCCACCACCGCCUCCAUCCCGCGGCUCCUGGCCGCGCCCGCCAGGGCCGUCGCCGUUCGGAGCCUCCCCUGCUUCCCGCCUCCUGCCGCUGUCGAGCGAUGCCGCCGACGCAGCUGGGCCUCGCGCCCUCGCUGCGGUGGCCUCGGGCACGGGCACCCAUUGCCCGAAACCGCCACGCCCGCACCUGGCGCCCAGCGCCCACUAGCGCCCGAAAACCCACUAAGGCCCCUGGGGCUAUGACAGAUGGGCCCCACGCCCAAAACAUUUUUUUAUUAAAAAAAGAGAAUUAAAAAAAUAUAAUAAAUAAUUAAUUAAUAAUAAAAUUAAUUAAUUAACUAAUUAAUUAACUUAACUAAUCCUGUUUAGUUUAACUAAUUAAGAUUAAUUAACCUAAUAAAUAGUUACCCUAAUUAACUACUAUUAAUUAGCUAAACAAUCCCUAACAGGUGGGACCCACCUGUCAGGUUGACCCAGUCAACCUCUAUUGACUGUUGACAUCAUGCUGACAUCAUGCUGACAUCAGCAAUCACUGUUCUGGAUAAUGUUGCAUUAAAAUAAUUAAAUAAAUCCUGAAAAUGAUUUAAAUCUUUUAAAAUUAAUAGAGAAUAAACCGUAGCUCAGAUGAAAAUACUUUCUACAUGAAAGUUGCUCAGAACGACGAGACGAUUCCGGAUACGCAGCCCGUUCGUCCACCACACACCCCUAACAUAUCAAACACGCAACUUUCCCCCUCCGGUUCAUCUGUGCGAAAACACGAAACACUGGGAAUACUUUCCCGGAUGCUUUCCCCCUUCGUCGGUAUCACCUACUACCGCGUUAGAACACGUCUAGCUCUGCUUGUUGUCCUGUUAUGCACUUGCUUGCUAUGUAUUUACUGUUUCUCCCCCCCUCUUCUCUCCGGUAGACCCCGUGACGAUGCUGAUGCCCCUGUGGUCGACUACAUCACCGACGACCNNNNNNNNNNNNNNNNNNNNNNNNNNNNNNNNNNNNNNNNNNNNNNNNNNNNNNNNNNNNNNNNNNNNNNNNNNNNNNNNNNNNNNNNNNNNNNNNNNNNNNNNNNNNNNNNNNNNNNNNNNNNNNNNNNNNNNNNNNNNNNNNNNNNNNNNNNNNNNNNNNNNNNNNNNNNNNNNNNNNNNNNNNNNNNNNNNNNNNNNNNNNNNNNNNNNNNNNNNNNNNNNNNNNNNNNNNNNNNNNNNNNNNNNNNNNNNNNNNNNNNNNNNNNNNNNNNNNNNNNNNNNNNNNNNNNNNNNNNNNNNNNNNNNNNNNNNNNNNNNNNNNNNNNNNNNNNNNNNNNNNNNNNNNNNNNNNNNNNNNNNNNNNNNNNNNNNNNNNNNNNNNNNNNNNNNNNNNNNNNNNNNNNNNNNNNNNNNNNNNNNNNNNNNNNNNNNNNNNNNNNNNUUGAUCACCAGAUAUCGCCUAUUCUACUCUAUACUGCUUGCAUUAGAGUAGUGUAGCAUGUUACUGCUUUCUGUUAUACCUAUCCUGAUGCAUAGCCUGUCCUUGUUACUAUUGUUGUUACCUUUACCUGCAAUCCUACUUGCUUAGUAUAGGAUGCUAGUAUUUCCAUCUGUGGCCCUACAUUCUUGUCCGUCUGCUGUGCUCUACUAUCGGGCCGUGAUCACUCGGGAGGUGAUCACGGGUAUAUACUAUAUACUUUAUACAUGAGACAUGUGGAGACUAAAGUCGGGUCGGCUGGUGGAGCACCCGCGAGUGGAUCUUUGAGGCGGAGCGACAGGGCAGGUUGAGACCGCCUAGGAGAGAGGUGGGCCUGGCCCUGUUCGGCGUUCGUGGAUAUUUAACACGCUUAACGAGAUCUUGGUAUUUGAUCUGAGUUGGCUACGAGCCUAUACGCACUAACCAACUACAUGGGAAAGAUAUGGGCACUCGGCGUCGUGGUAUCAGCCGAAGCACUUCGUGACGUCAGCGACUGAGCGGCGCGCGCCGAAUUGGACUGGAACGCCACUAGGCUAGGUCUGCUUUCGGCCGCCCUCGCAACGUGCAGGUGUGUUCAGGGUGAUGGGCCCAGACCCCUGGGCGCCUAGGUUUAGACCGGCGUGCUGACCUCUCUGUUGAGCCUAGGUGGGGCUGCGACGUGUUGAUCUUCCGCGGCCGGGCAUGACCCAGGAAAGUGUGUCCGGCCAAAUGGGAUCAAGUGUGUUGGGUAAGUUGGUGCACCCCUGCAGGGAAGUUGAUCUAUUCGAAUAGCCGUGAUCUUUGGUAACAGGACGACUUGGAGUUGUACCUUGAUCUUAUGACAACUAGAACCGGAUACUUAAUAAAACACACCCUUCCAAGUUCCACAGACAACCCGGUGAUAGCUUUUCCACAGGGCGACGAGGGGAGGAUCGCCGAGUAGGAUUAUGCUAUGCGAUGCGACUGGAGAUGCUACUUGGAGAUGCUACUUGGAGGACUUCAAUCUACUCUCUUCUACAUGCUGCAAGACGGAGGCUGCCAGAAGCGUAGUCUUCGACAGGAUUAGCUAUCCCCCUUUUAUUCUGGCAUUCUGCAGUUCAGUCCACCGAUAUGGCCCUUUACACAUAUACCCAUGCAUAUGUAGUGUAGCUCCUUGCUUGCGAGUACUUUGGAUGAGUACUCACGGUUGCUUUUCUCCCUCUUUUCCCCUUUCCCUUCUACCUGGUUGUCGCAACCAGAUGCUGGAGCCCUGGAGCCAGACGCCACCGUCGACGAUGAUUCCUACUACACUGGAGGUGCCUACUACUAUGUGCAGGCUGCUGACGACGACCAUGAGUAGUUUAGGAGGAUCCCAGGCAGGAGGCCUGCGCCUCUUUCGAUCUGUAUCCCAGUUGUGCUAGCCUUCUUAAGGCAAACUUGUUUAACUUAUGUUUGUACUCAGAUAUUGUUGCUUCCGCUGACUCGUCUAUGAUCGAGCACUUGUAUUCGAGCCCUCGAGGCCCCUGGCUUGUAUUAUGAUGCUUGUAUGACUUAUUUAUGUUUUAGAGUUGUGUUGUGAUAUCUUCCCGUGAGUCCUUGAUCUUGAUCGUACACAUUGCAUGCAUGAUUAGUGUACGAUUGAAUCGAGGGCGCCACAAGUUGGUAUCAGAGCCGACUGCCUGUAGGAAUCCCCCUUCCACACUCCUUGGCCGAAGUCGAGUCUAGACAUUGAAAAAACUUUUACUAACUUGGCUGUGUGCCUUACGGGCCCACGUCGCCAUCGGGUGGUAUUAGGAUCUUUUAUUCCUCGUCUAUACUCUGGGACUCUGAUCUCUCUACUAUUCGGGUUAAAUGAAUUUGCUAACUCUAAGAUUAGGAUCUCGUGAUCGCAUCCACCCGAAGAGCCCCUUAUUGCAGAGGAUCGCCUGCUACAUCAGAAGAUUCCGAAGAUACUCUCUGAUGUUCUCUCGAGACUUGUGCCCAUCACUUUGGCUAUUCCUGACCACCGAUAAAUCCGUAUGGAUAACUACUUACACUUGCCAUUCUUACGAUCCUCCCCCAUUGAUCUUGUUAUUACAAGAUACCCCGAAGUUUUCUCUAUUGUUCCGAGAAUACUUUGUGCCUACUGCCUAGCAGUUCUUUGCCACAUGAAUACCCCUUCGAAUAAAUCCUCGCACUUGUCGAGUAUCCGCUCAUCCCCAGUUGUUCAUGUGUUUCACAAAAGUCUUCGAAAUAAUAUUCGAUCUUCCGAAAAUCCUUUGGGGCCUUUGGCUCUUGAAAUUCUUGCUUGCUUGCAUUAUGGAUAAUCCCAUAAGUCUCAUAGUCAUAUUGACAUUCCUUGUCAUUACCAUUUUGAGUCUGUUGACUCAAUAUGUUUGCGAAUACAUGCAAUCAUCAUUGAUCCUUAUAAAUUACUUUUCCAGCUGAGCUGCCAUUCUUUUUACUGGAAUUGGUUCUCGACGAAUCCAAUUGUCUUUGAUUGUACCCUACGGCUAUUCAACUUAUCCACCCCUAAUCAGAGCAUUGCUUCUGAUCCCUUGAUUUGGAAAUCAUAAUUCCUUUCAUUUGACAAUUGAGUUAGUCAGUUGUUUCUAUAAUCUGCUUCCUCUAGUUGAGUACUGAUGCUCAUGUCAGAUCCCUUGUGGACCACCAGAUCCUUUGUUGGAUUUUAUCUGACAACGCCCUUCAUAUUCAAUAAACUUGUGAGCCUUUUCUCGGAUACAUAAUGCCUUUGGUAAAUUGUAUCGUCUGCUUUCUCAACCAUGCUCUGCCUUCGAGCUUGAGUUAAUUACUUCUAAAAGAUUCUGGUAUAGGAUUCUAAGAUGCCCCGAUGGGUUGAACCUAUGCCUUCCUUAAUAUGUGUGAACUCGAAAGUUUUCACGAGUCGUACUCUUCUGGUAUUUUGCCAGAUAAAAUUUCAACGCUAUAACUUCAUCGAAAGCGAGAAGUGAAUGAAAGGGUAUGCAUUGGAGAAGUGGGAGUCAACUUUGAACUUUGUGUUCAUGCCCAUGGACGCGAUGUAUAUCCUAUCAUGGAAGCUUCUUGUAACAAUAACUAUUUCCUUGAUAACUAACAUAUGGUAUCUGUGAAUUGAUCCCUUGCAACCGUGGUUCCGACCAUGAUUGUUCUUCUUUGAUCUCAUUUCUCGGACAAGUUAAAACAAUUGUCUCCUAUGGAUCAAUACACCAGUCCAACCUUUACUUUGAUCUUGUGUCGAGUAUUACCCCCCUAGUAUCUCGAGAUUAUCAUGGAACUGCAUAACUCCUUAUGAGUUCUUCAUCAAGUGCUACCUUCCCACUGAUUCCAAUUUUUCACGGGCUCUGAGUUAAUAAACACUCAAAGACACCGAUAACGGAACCGAGUCCGCACUACGGUUCAACAACUCUUCAGUAAGCUUCUAUAAGUACGAGUUUGUACCUGAUCACGCCAUUCCUAGCCUGUUUGGCUAUAUCAUUGCCGUGAUGAUUUUAACUGUGCUACCCGGUCCUUCUUCUCGGAGCACAAUUUUCGACGAUGAACUAACCUUACGUCGAUCCUCAUCGUCAUACCAUUUCGCCUUGAACAACAAGCUUGGUUUCGAGUUGUGUCGUACCCUUGGUUCCAAUAACCUUUCACUUCAUCAUUACUUUGACUUGAUGUCGUCGCCGAUCGAUUACAUCUUCAUGAACUCUCGCGACAAAGGUGUCGUGAUCAUCAACAUUCUGAGCUCAUCCAGGAUAUCAAUUGAAUUCAUGAUGAGAAAUACCAUCCUUGCCCUCGAUGAAUUGUAUUAUCAUCGACCACUUUAUUGCCUUCCCACCAACACAAGCUUGUUCAUGCUUGGUGUUAUACCUUGAGUUCCUUGCUAUCCAGCAAUUGUUCUUCUUUACCUUGGAGUAUUACCAUCCUUUAUGUCAAGAAUGUUCUGAGAAUUGUUCCACCUCUUGAGAAUUCUUGACAUAGAAAUACUUCUCACCAUCACCAUUCUUUCUUGGUCCCCGUGUUAAUUCCAACAAGUGAAGGGUGUUGUUUGGAUUCUUUCCUUCUAGCAACCCUAUUUUUUUAGUUAAUGGUCGAAAGUUCAUUCUUAGGCUAUUGAUUAUUGAAUCACCAUUCUGACAUUGGUCGUGCAACCCAACCCAUAUUUCGGGCGCACCUUUCAACCAAUGUUAAUUGUGUAUGUUUACCUCGAGCAUACUUCCUUAUAUCAUUUGAUCUGACAAAUGUUAUCUCCUUGUUCACUUAAUUGUGGAAAUCCAUCUUUUGGGAAUCUCGGUGAAUUGCCGUUGAGUUCACCAGACACCUCCUUGUCCUCUCCUUGGUUUAAUGAUGAACUAUUGCUUCAGAAACCCGCUCUCAUAGUUCAUUUCUCGAGGAUCUUGCAAUGUCAUUUCGACGAUUUGUGUUGCACCUUUUUCCUCUCGGACCCCCUGAGUCUGAGGUUUCAUGACACCAAUUGGAUAUGAAUCUCGGUCAGAUAUGAUGGUUGGGACAACUUUCCAAGAGUUAUGAUGUUGAUCCUUUGAUGACCCGGUAACAUGAUGUCAUGCCUAGCACCCCCCCCCCCCGGCUGGAGGACCUAUCAUUAUAGAUUCCUUUUCAGCAAGGUUAUCCAUUCAUCCAUGAGGAAAUUGUAAGACUUAUUCUACAAGUUAUUCCUGAUGGAUCCUUCGUGUUUCCAAAGUCUGAUCUUCACCCGAUGACCAUGUCAAUGCUAUCUCGAAGCAUGCCUAUGGUACUCCGAUUUUCAACAAGACCAUUUGAAGCCCAAUGCUAAAUGUUUCUUGCUCAAUUACCCAAACACCGUUGUAUGGGCAAUGUCAUGAAAAUUCUCUCCCCUACCUAAAGAGUUUUCUACAUUAUAUCCUGACAUGGAUAUCAUGCUCUGCUUGUCCUUGGGAAGGAUAUACCCUUGAAAUAUGUGUUUAAACAUAAUUUCCUUUCCAUUGUUCUGUUUAAUCUGAUGAUCAUAUUUUCCUUCCAUUGUUGGUUUAACCUUUCUUGUGAACUAUAUGAUCUGAGCAGUAAUAUUCUCCUGCUUAUGUAAACACCUCGUUGUACAAUUCUGUCAGUAAGACCCUGUUACUUUUGUUGAUGACAUUCUGGUAACCACCGAUGGACGAGAACUUCACCUACUGGUCCGCCUCGUUCAACGAGCAGGAAAAUGGUUCUCUUCGUCCCUCGCCCUUGGUACCGACAUUGUUGCCGACAUAACUGACAUGCUACUCUCUGACAUGCCUUGCUAUCGUGAUCGUAUAAGAUGUCAGCCCCCCCUUUCUACUUUUAACCCACAUGGUGGGCCCAUAACCCACAGGUCCCACGAACGAAACCUGACUCUCCUGUACAACCUGUUGUCAAAGUUAUUCCUCGUGCUUGACUUUGUAUGUAAUUCACGGGCCACUUGCCUGUUGAUCUAUUCUGGUAUCGGACACAAUACUUAUUCCCGUUGCUCAGAACCCCUUUCGCACUCUGCUUCAGGCAAUGAACGAUUGCCUAUCCGCUUGAAACUUCUUAUUGCACCGUCUUACUUUGCUCUCGAUAGGUGUAAUUUGUUCAACUCGAGAGAUACUCAUAUGUUCAUUCUUGGGAUACCCCCAGAUGAAUUUCCCUUAUAACCUCCUAUCAUUGUAGAGCUGCCCCUUACCUAUUCGUAAGUACGAUGGAGUUCCCCGAAGAAAGGAAGACAACUUCAUCAUGAUGCUUUGGAAUAAAGAAUUGAAGACAUCAACGAAAGGGAUUAACUUCUUCAAGAAGAUCCAUUAGAAUAACCAGAACCCCCCCCCCCCUUACUCCCCUCUUAAAUCUCGGGACGAGAUUUCUUGUAGUGGAGGAGAAUUGUGACGCCCGGAUAAUUAGACUACAGUAAUCCCAAGCUAAUGAUGCCACGUCACCUCCAUUACUGUGAUUAAACUCACGUUGAUUCGAACCCGAUUCAAAUUCAAAUUUAAAACAUAGGCAAACAACAAAAGUUUCCAAACUUUAAAACUAAAAUGUUUGGAGUGAACUAAAUAAUGCAGCGGUAAUUAUGGUGGAGAAACCAAACUUUGAUAAAGUGUUUAAAGGCUCUAAGAUAAUUAAAACAGUAGUUAAAAUAGUUAAAUACAUGCCUAUUGAAUUUUAUAAAAUAUUAAACUAUUUUAUUUUCGGUUGAGAAUUAAGGUGGCAGUAGUAUAUUUAUAAAUAAAAAUUUAGGUGCUAGUGUUUUUAUAAAACUGUAAUAAAAAGGAACUUAAAAUAAAGCAGAAAAGAAAAUACAAAAGAGAAAAACUAAACAGACAAAAAAAGAANNNNNNNNNNNNNNNNNNNNNNNNNNNNNNNNNNNNNNNNNNNNNNNNNNNNNNNNNNNNNNNNNNNNNNNNNNNNNNNNNNNNNNNNNNNNNNNNNNNNNNNNNNNNNNNNNNNNNNNNNNNNNNNNNNNNNNNNNNNNNNNNNNNNNNNNNNNNNNNNNNNNNNNNNNNNNNNNNNNNNNNNNNNNNNNNNNNNNNNNNNNNNNNNNNNNNNNNNNNNNNNNNNNNNNNNNNNNNNNNNNNNNNNNNNNNNNNNNNNNNNNNNNNNNNNNNNNNNNNNNNNNNNNNNNNNNNNNNNNNNNNNNNNNNNNNNNNNNNNNNNNNNNNNNNNNNNNNNNNNNNNNNNNNNNNNNNNNNNNNNNNNNNNNNNNNNNNNNNNNNNNNNNNNNNNNNNNNNNNNNNNNNNNNNNNNNNNNNNNNNNNNNNNNNNNNNNNNNNNNNNNNNNNNNNNNNNNNNNNNNNNNNNNNNNNNNNNNNNNNNNNNNNNNNNNNNNNNNNNNNNNNNNNNNNNNNNNNNNNNNNNNNNNNNNNNNNNNNNNNNNNNNNNNNNNNNNNNNNNNNNNNNNNNNNNNNNNNNNNNNNNNNNNNNNNNNNNNNNNNNNNNNNNNNNNNNNNNNNNNNNNNNNNNNNNNNNNNNNNNNNNNNNNNNNNNNNNNNNNNNNNNNNNNNNNNNNNNNNNNNNNNNNNNNNNNNNNNNNNNNNNNNNNNNNNNNNNNNNNNNNNNNNNNNNNNNNNNNNNNNNNNNNNNNNNNNNNNNNNNNNNNNNNNNNNNNNNNNNNNNNNNNNNNNNNNNNNNNNNNNNNNNNNNNNNNNNNNNNNNNNNNNNNNNNNNNNNNNNNNNNNNNNNNNNNNNNNNNNNNNNNNNNNNNNNNNNNNNNNNNNNNNNNNNNNNNNNNNNNNNNNNNNNNNNNNNNNNNNNNNNNNNNNNNNNNNNNNNNNNNNNNNNNGCUCUCUUCCCCCUCUCUCCCGAUUGGAUCGGGAGGUGGGGCAAACCACCGAGGCCGCCGCCCUAAGCCCGACGCCGCCCCCCCCAGAUCCCGUCCUCGCCGGACCGAUCCGCCGCCGCCCGGACCUCGCCUCCUCAUCCCCCUGCUCGUCGGAGCGUCGUCCCCGUCCGCCACCCCGAACCCCGCCGCUCGACGCCGUCAUCAGAAGCCACCACGCCGGACCACACCACGCCGCCUCGCCGACCUUCCUCCUCGCCGGCGCCGUCGUCCCCGACUCUUCCUCAACACCCGCUGCCACGUACCCUACAACUACGGUGAGGCCCUCGGCCUCCCCUUCCCCUCGCUCGCACACCGUCCCGCACCGGCGCGCGACCACCGCGACUCCCGUCCGCUGCCAUCGACCGUUGCACUCGCCGCAUCGUGGAUGCGCCCGACCCCACCCUGGAGCCGCCCGCGGCCACCUGCCUCCGCGCGCGUCCACCGUCGAGCUCCCGCACGCCCUGGACCGCGCUUGGCCGCGCCCGACCGUNNNNNNNNNNNNNNNNNNNNNNNNNNNNNNNNNNNNNNNNNNNNNNNNNNNNNNNNNNNNNNNNNNNNNNNNNNNNNNNNNNNNNNNNNNNNNNNNNNNNNNNNNNNNNNNNNNNNNNNNNNNNNNNNNNNNNNNNNNNNNNNNNNNNNNNNNNNNNNNNNNNNNNNNNNNNNNNNNNNNNNNNNNNNNNNNNNNNNNNNNNNNNNNNNNNNNNNNNNNNNNNNNNNNNNNNNNNNNNNNNNNNNNNNNNNNNNNNNNNNNNNNNNNNNNNNNNNNNNNNNNNNUGCUCCCCGCCUCCUGCCGCUGUCGAGCGAUGCCGCCGACGCAGCUGGGCCUCGCGCCCUCGCUGCGGUGGCCUCGAGCACGGGCACCCAUUGCCCGAAACCGCCACGCCCGCACCUGGCGCCCAGCGCCCACUAGCGCCCGAAAACCCACUAAGGCCCCUGGGGCCUAUGACAGAUGGGCCCCACGCCCAAAACAUUUUUUAUUAAAAAAAGAGAAUUAAAAAAAUAUAAUAAAUAAUUAAUUAAUAAUAAAAUUAAUUAAUUAACUAAUUAAUUAACUUAACUAAUCCUGUUUAGUUUAACUAAUUAAGAUUAAUUAACCUAAUAAAUAGUUACCCUAAUUAACUACUAUUAAUUAGCUAAACAAUCCCUAACAGGUGGGACCCACCUGUCAGGUUGACCCAGUCAACCUCUAUUGACUGCUGACAUCAUGCUGACAUCAUGCUGACAUCAGCAAUCACUGUUCUGGAUAAUGUUGCAUUAAAAUACUUAAAUAAAUCCUGAAAAUGAUUUAAAUCUUUUAAAAUUAAUAGAUAAUAAACCGUAGCUCACAUGAAAAUACUUUCUACAUGAAAGUUGCUCAGAACGACGAGACGAUUCCGGAUACGCAGCCCGUUCGUCCACCACACACCCCUAACAUAUCAAACACGCAAUUUUCCCCCUCCGGUUCAUCUGUCCGAAAACACGAAACACCGGGAAUACUUUCCCGGAUGCUUUCCCCCUUCGUCGGUAUCACCUACUACCGCGUUAGAACACGUCUAGCUCUGCUUGUUGUCCUGUUAUGCACUUGCUUGCUAUGUAUUUACUGUUUCUCCCCCCCUCUUCUCUCCGGUAGACCCUAUGACGAUGUUGAUGCCCCUGUGGUCGACUACAUCACCGACGACCCCUCUCUCUUGCCAGAGCAACCAGGCAAGCCCCCCCCCCCUUGAUCACCAGAUAUCGCCUAUUCUACUCUAUACUGCUUGCAUUAGAGUAGUGUAGCAUGUUACUGCUUUCUGUUAUACCUAUCCUGAUGCAUAGCCUGUCCUUGUUACUACUGUUGUUACCUUUACCUGCAAUCCUACUUGCUUAGUAUAGGAUGCUAGUAUUUCCAUCUGUGGCCCUACAUUCUUGUCCGUCUGCUGUGCUAUACUAUUGGGCCGUGAUCACUCGGGAGGUGAUCACGGGUAUAUACUAUAUACUUUAUACAUGAUACAUGUGGAGACUAAAGUCGGGUCGGCUGGUGGAGCACCCGCGAGUGGAUCUUUGAGGCGGAGCGACAGGGCAGGUUGAGACCGCCUAGGAGAGAGGUGGGCCUGGCCCUGUUCGGCGUUCGCGGAUAUUUAACACGCUUAACGAGAUCUUGGUAUUUGAUCUGAGUUGGCUACGAGCCUAUACGCACUAACCAACUACAUGGGAAAGAUAUGGGCACUCGGCGUCGUGGUAUCAACCGAAGCACUUCGUGACGUCAGCGACUGAGCGGCGCGCGCCGAAUUGGACUGGAACGCCACUAGGCUAGGUCUGCUUUCGGCCGCCCUCGCAACGUGCAGGUGUGUUCAGGGUGAUGGGCCCAGAUCCCUGGGCGCCUAGGUUUAGACCGGUGUGCUGACCUCUCUGUUGAGCCUAGGUGGGGCUGCGACGUGUUGAUCUUCCGCGGCCGGGCAUGACCCAGGAAAGUGUGUCCGGCCAAAUGGGAUCAAGCGUUUUGGGUAAGUUGGUGCACCCCUGCAGGGAAGUUGAUCUAUUCGAAUAGCCGUGAUCUUCGGUAACAGGACGACUUGGAGUUGUACCUUGACCUUAUGACAACUAGAACCGGAUACUUAAUAAAACACACCCUUCCAAGUUCCACAGACAACCCGGUGAUCGCUUUUCCACAGGGCGAUGAGGGGAGGAUCGCCGGGUAGGAUUAUGCUAUGCGAUGCGACUGGAGAUGCUACUUGGAGGACUUCAAUCUACUCUCUUCUACAUGCUGCAAGACGAAGGCUGCCAGAAGCGUAGUCUUCGACAGGAUUAGCUAUCCCCCUUUUAUUCUGGCAUUCUGCAGUUCAGUCCACCGAUAUGGCCCUUUACACAUAUACCCAUGCAUAUGUAGUGUAGCUCCUUGCUUGCGAGUACUUUGGAUGAGUACUCACGGUUGCUUUUCUCCCUCUUUUCCCCUUUCCCUUCUACCUGGUUGUCGCAACCAGAUGCUGGAGCCCUGGAGCCAGACGCCACCGUCGACGAUGAUUCCUACUACACUGGAGGUGCCUACUACUACGUGCAGGCUGCUGACGACGACCAUGAGUAGUUUAGGAGGAUCCCAGGCAGGAGGCCUGCGCCUCUUUCGAUCUGUAUCCCAGUUGUGCUAGCCUUCUUAAGACAAACUUGUUUAACUUAUGUCUGUACUCAGAUAUUGUUGCUUCCGCUGACUCGUCUAUGAUCGAGCACUUGUAUUCGAGCCCUCGAGGCCCCUGGCUUGUAUUAUGAUGCUUAUAUGACUUAUUUAUGUUUUAGAGUUGUGUUGUGAUAUCUUCCCGUGAGUCCUUGAUCUUGAUCGUACACAUUGCGUGCAUGAUUAGUGUACGAUUGAAUCGAGGGCGCCACAAAAUGCUUCAUGUCACAAACAAUGUUAGGUGGGUUUAGGAAAAUGGAUAACAAAAUGGUUUGUUGGCGUUCAGAUCAUAGUACCUUAUAACUUCUAUAAUGGUAGAGUUUUCAACAUGUUAGAAUCAAAAUUUUCAGUGUUUAGGGUUGAGAUGCUGGUAUCGAAAUCCAUCGAGUAUUCCUUCAUAGAACAUACAUUGCUCCAUCACUCCAUUUAAUAAAGGGCUGGCAUAAGAACCACAUCCAAGAUGGAGUUUGGCAAUUCAUGGAUUGGCCCACUAGGAUUUGACCGGCCUUGUCCGAAAACAAUGCGGCGACGUAGUCAACACGAGGAAGGACAGGACCUCCCAAUGGGGAGUUCAGGUGGCCGGAGGCAUAAGGAGAAGAGCCCGGCGGAGAUCUCUGAGCCCGGAUGAUCACGAGCCCUGUCACGCUCGGGGGCUACUGACGGGGCCCUAGACCAAGGGUGCCUAACAUAAAGGAGCCCAGCCUCUACUUCGACUAGGGCCCACCAGGCCCAGAGAAUAUCGCGGAACCCUAAGAAGGAGAGGGCAGACUAGCAUGUAUCCCAAGGAAGAUGGCGGCCCUCUCUUGUCUAUAUAAAGGGAGGUCUAGGGCCAUCAUAGGGAUCCAAUCUAGAAAAAACUCUCGGUAGACAUAUCAUACACCAUUGUAAUCCUCUGCACGAGGUAUCCUCUCAUCAUGAAUAUGAAAAGAAAGCAUGGCAUAAAGUAUUACUCUUCGGAGGCUCGAACCUAGGUAAACUGUAUUUGCAGACUCCGCUCCGAUACUUUCGGUCUCAUCAUGAACCCUACCGAGGGAUCUGACGGGAAAUCGCUUCACCAGCUACGUCCGCAUUGAUGGGGCGGCUGCCGAGAGGUCGAAUCGGUCAGCGUCACCCUCCGGUCACAUCGCGCGGCAUCAAUGCCGGCCGCUCCAUGCUCUGGGACUGCAUGAAUGCGCUGCGGUAGGCGGCGCGUGCAUCGGAAGAAAAACGCGGGAGGGAUAUGUGAGGGGUUUGGGUGGGCCGGUGAGGUUGGAAGCAGGCUUAAGGGCAAUUCGGACGCCCGCGAAGCUCCCUCGCGUUCGUCUCCUGUUUGCAAAAGAAAGUAUGUCCAGACUGUAUCACGGACCGAUACAGACCCACGUUAGGUAACUUCCGUGAUCUGAAUAGCGCGAUGCAGACAUCUACGGGGGGUUUGAGGAUCGCCGUUGGAAAUUCCCCUACUGCCGACCUUGGAUGGUUGGAAUUUUACUUCUACUCCCGAAGAUUGAACUGGGCUUGUACGUAGCGGGGACAAUAUGCAUGCUGCCAGAGUGCCAAUGCCAUGUAAUGAUGCAACUAUGCAAAUCCCUGAGCAAUCAUCGAACCCCGCCGUAUAUCACUGAGAUAGUGCGACGAGCUGAGGACGUCAAAAGGAUAUGGAUCACCAGCUGACGUGGCAAGAUCAGUAGAUGCCAAUGUUUACACUGUUGCUACUAAUACAUCAGUUUAUUUACUUUUUGCGAAAUACAAGCACUCCAAAGUUUAAUCAGGACAAUCUUUUUCUUCUCUUCUGCGGGGACGACCUCUGCAGUGUACCCAGCCAUAGACUGUAGAUAUACCCCAAAACCAUCAAGUGUGCUCGGGUGCAUAUACUCCCGUUUGAGAAAAUAAUUCUGCUGUGAUCCCAAAAGUCUAAAGAAAAAUAACACAUUUUGAUGAAUCAAAUUUGCUUCCAGGUUUCAAGUUUCAUGAAGUACAAUUCAUUUGUGAGAUAUGCAAAGAUAAUGGCAUUUUUAACCGAUCCCCAACAAUCGAUUAGAUGAGUAAAAUUCCGAUUUUACUCCUCUAACCGGCACCUAGCCGAUUCCCAAUCGGUGUUAGCGGAGUAAAAAUUAUACUCAGCCGCGGCGAAUCUUUCUAUAUUUACUCCGCCGCUCGACGGCCGAGUAAAAAAAUAUCUCUUCUCUUCCCCUCAUCUGCCUCCUCUCCUCCCCCUCGCCCUACCGCCGACGCGUCCCCCGCCGGUCCCUGCCGCCCCCUCUUCUCCCAAUGGCCGGACGCGGUGGCCGAAGACCCNNNNNNNNNNNNNNNNNNNNNNNNNNNNNNNNNNNNNNNNNNNNNNNNNNNNNNNNNNNNNNNNNNNNNNNNNNNNNNNNNNNNNNNNNNNNNNNNNNNNNNNNNNNNNNNNNNNNNNNNNNNNNNNNNNNNNNNNNNNNNNNNNNNNNNNNNNNNNNNNNNNNNNNNNNNNNNNNNNNNNNNNNNNNNNNNNNNNNNNNNNNNNNNNNNNNNNNNNNNNNNNNNNNNNNNNNNNNNNNNNNNNNNNNNNNNNNNNNNNNNNNNNNNNNNNNNNNNNNNNNNNNNNNNNNCCGUGCCGCCAUGCCCACGGGUCGUCCUCAAGCGGCACAUCUUCGAGCCGCCGUUGCUCGCCCGAUCCGCCCGCCCCUGUCUGGUUCGCCGACUUCCCGGAGCUCCCUCCAUCGCGGCCACCGCAGAAGACAUACCUCGGUGUCCGGCAGCGGUCGUGGGGGAUAUGGGUGGCGGAGGUCACCGACCGGCAGACCCACAAGAGAAAGUGACUUGGGUCGUUCCACACGGCGAAGCUUGCGAAGAUGGAGUAUGACCGGUGGCAAGUCUGGCUCCACGACUCCAUCACGCGGGUCAACUUUCUAUUUGCGACGACGCCGGUCCACCUCGACCCGCCGGCGUCGGGGGUGGUGAGCACGGCGAUGGCUCGGGAGUGCCUCGAGGCGGAGGCAGUCGACGAGGCAUACAUAGAGGACCUCCAGCACCAGCACCCGAGCUUGUGGAGGCGGAGCGGGCGGUAUUCGCCGACAAUGGCGAGGAGGUCAUCGUCAUCUCCGACAAUGAGGUGCAAGGCGACGAGGAGGGCGGCGAGGAAGAGGAGUUCUAUGUUGAGGAGUGGCGGAGCAUCUUCCCCGACUGCAACGAUGACGGCACCGGCCUGGACCCAUGUCUCAUCGGCGGUGGCCUAUCGAGGAAGGAUUGGCUCAACCUCCACUAUGGUCGAUGAGUAGUCUAGUGUAGUUUAAGUUUAGUAGUAUGUUUGAAUUUUGUUUAAUGUUCGGUUAUCAAGACUAUGUUGAACUUAUAUUUAAAUUUAUGCAAAUUUUGGUUGAGACUAGAUUGAAUUUAUGCAAAUUUAUGUUUUACUCCGCUAAGUCUAGGGGGUCGGCUAGAACCAACCAAAACUUAUGGUUUACUCGGCCGGAUACUCCUUUAUUUUAUAGGGGAUUGGUUAAAAAUGCCCUAACAAACUCAAGCAUCCCAUAUUUUAUUGGAUUUCUGUCGAAGCUUCUCUAAUUUCUAAAAUACACGGAACAUGUCUUCCUCCCAAGUCCCAAAGCACAAAAUCCACACUCAGGCUUUUUGCCAAAGGUAAAUGCAAACUAAUACAUCCAUCGCCGACAAGGAAUACCGAUGUUGUACAUUCUGACCCUACGGGGAGAACGACGAGACCAGAAGGCACGCAUGCAUGCAAUGCAUUAAUACUCAUACAAGUUGGAACCAAAGCUGCUGGCAAUUGAAUACAUAGAUACGGUUGCUGGCCGGGAGCUUUCGUACCGGCUACUUGAAUUGCCAGUACCGCGUCUCAACUACAACGCCUCGAAGCUAUUGGCAAAUGGGGGACUACUCGUCUCAAUCGGUUGGCCGUUGCAUUGCACUGCUGAGCGCGACGGCAAUCAUGUCUCGUCCACGAAUACAGCAUGCUCUCUGAAAAAAAAUACACCAUGCUGAUGUACAUUUACAUGCACGUACGGUGGUCUGAAACUAUUAAAACUAAAAUACUCGGUUAGAUGGCCGUGGGAGCUAGGUGGUGACUUUUCAGUCAGAUCGGGUACGCGGCUAGAUUUGCUGGCCCUGUGAUCAUCCCUACCGCAGAAUUCUCGUGGAAAUCAAGGGCUCCAUUGCUGUGCUGCUUUUUCUCAUGGCUUGUCCUUGGCAACAUGUGUUGGACGUCUGACAGACUAGUCCGAAGAAGACUACCGUUCCAGGACUCAUGUUGUAAUUUUGCUAGUAGGCCUUUGGUCCAAAGCCCAACUAAAAUUCUGAUAUUCUCUUGGCCCAUUCAUGCACACAUGUGAGUGGAGUGAGUAAGGCUAAAGUUUAGUCCCACCCCGAAAGUUGAGAGAGAGUUGCACCUUUUUAUAAGGUGAGCUCUUCUACCACUUGUAUGAGCAUGAGAAGAGGAGACCUACACACUCGCCUCGCCACGCCACGCCUCGCCUCGCCUCGUCACGACGCGCCGCGGGUUGAGGGAUUGAGCCGAGCCGAGGACAGAGCUAUGCACGUUGUCUAUAUUUUUGCUGCAUGGGAAAAUUAAUGAGUCAUUAAUUAAUAAUUAACGGACGCGUUAAUUACUGAACCGUUUCCGAUUCUUUUGGAUCGUGACGACUCGGACGUGGGGUUUACCCCCACGACCUACCCGGCUCGCACUAUAUAGUCAGGCAGACGUCUACCCUAGCUGCCGCCGCUUCGUAUGGUUUCUCACCACCGUUCCAGAUCAUUGCGCCGCCAAGCAAGUCUUCUCCAUCCCUCCUUCCGGCGUGCACCGCGAGAAGGGACAGCAGGCCUCCGGAACCCCGCCUCUCGUGAUCCUGUACGGGAGAGGGCGAUCAGGUUUUUGGGGAGCGCACUCGCGCGACUGCUGGCAGCGACGACUUCGCGAACGACGACUUCUUCCCCGACCUCGGCAACCUCGUCCUCGACGACAUGGGCGACAACGUCAACGCCGGCGGUGCUGCACCCGCUGCACCGUAUGUGAUUCUAUCCUUCCUGUUCGAGAUCGUGGUAGAAUUCAUGCUUCUAGUAUGUGCCCUAGAUGUGAUAUGUUCAUCUGCUAUGCUAGUUCGCAUGAUUAGUUUAAUCUCUCUUGCUGUGGUCAUGAUUUAUCUUCUGUUUAUUCGGAUUAAAUCUCGUAGUAAUUUGCUCAUAUUUCCAACAAUCCAAAAACCUGAUUAUAGGCAAUUUACUCCGAGUGGUUUUGCUGCGCAUCUGAAGCCGCCUGCCUUUAAGGGGGCGCAAUAUAAGAGGUGGCGCACGAGAGCAGUCUACUGGUUUCAGACCAUGGGCUGCUAUGAUGCCACCAAGGGCAAGCCUGCGGGCGAUCUUAAUCCAGCACAGCUGGAAGCUUUUGAGAAGAUCGAUACCCUUUUUAAAGGCGCUCUUCUGAGUGUUCUUGAUGACUCCAUUGUGGAUUCGUAUAUGUCAUUUGACAACGGCAAGGACAUGUGGGCUGCGCUCGAGGCCAAGUUUGAUGCCUCGGACGCCGGCAGCGAGUUGUACGUCAUGGGGCAAUUCUAUGACUACAAGAUGACUGAUGAGCGCCCUGUUGUACAGCAGGCUCAUGAGAUACAGUCGCUCGCAAAAGAACUUGAGUACUUCAAGUGUGUGUUGCCGGACAAAUUUGUUUUCGGAGGCAUCAUUGCCAAGCUUCCACCUUCGUGGAACAAUUUUGCUACUUCCCUGAAACACAAGAGACAGGAGUUUUCUGUUGCGGAUCUCAUUGGUACUCUUGAUGUUGAAGAGAAGGCGAGAGCAAAGGACACACGUGCUCGAGUUGCUGAGGGAGGUUCUAGUGCCCACAUGGUACAGAAGAAGAACUCCCAGCCCAACAAGUUCAAAAACAAUAAGAACAAAACUCAGGGCAAACGCAAGUUUGAUACAAAGAACAAGCCAUCACAUUCUACCAACUUCAAGAAGAAUUCUCAUAAGAAGGGGAAAGGACUUUGCCAUGUCUGCGGUGAUCCUAAUCACUGGGCUCCAAAGUGUCCUAACCGCUUUGAGGAGCGCGAACAUGAGAAGAGCGGCAAGUCCGCUAAUGUUGUCAUCGGUGAUACUGAUAUGAAGGAAUCAGGGUACGGUAUUUUUCCUACCAUCCUUUCAGUAUUUCAAUCCCCUGAUUGGUUAGUUGACACCGGUGCCAAUGUACAUGUUUGUGCUGACGCCUCCAUGUUUUCUUCUUACCAGGCAACAUGCCAUCGUUCGAGGUGUUGGUACGGUUGAUCUGAAGUUUACUUCGGGGAAGACUGUGCGUCUGAAGAACGUUCAUCAUGUGCCGUCCAUCAAUAAAAAUCUCGUUAGCGGUUCCCGUUUACGUCGAGAUGGUUUUAAGUUGGUUUUCGAAUCCAAUAAAGUUGUAAUUUCUAAGUGUGGACAAUUUGUUGGAAAAGGCUAUGAGUGCGGAGGCUUGUUCCGCCUAUCUUUGUCAGAUAUUUGCACUAAAGUUAUUAAUAAUGAUUGCCACAAUAAUGAGUCUGAUAUUUGGCAUUCACGACUCUGUCAUAUUAACUUUGGUUGCAUGACGCGGUUAGCCAAUAUGAAUUUAAUUCCGAAAAUCUCUACUGUCAAAGGCUCCAAGUGCCAAGUAUGUGUGCAAGCUAAGCAACCUCGCAAGUCCCAUAAGACUACAGAGGCAAGAGACUUGGCGCCACUAGAGCUUAUACAUUCUGAUCUUUGUGAGAUGAAUGGUGUGUUGACAAAAGGUGGAAAGAGAUACUUCAUGCCGUUGAUUGAUGACUCCACUAGAUAUUGUUAUGUGUAUCUUCUGAAAUCAAAAGAUGAGGCUUUGACUUUCUUUAAAAACUAUAAAGCUGAGGCAGAGAAUCAACUUGAUCGAAAAAUUAAACGGCUUAGGUCCGAUCGUGGUGGAGAGUAUUUUUCCAAUGAAUUUGAUCUGUUUUGUGCGGAACAUGGUAUAAUCCACGAAAGGACGCCUCCCUACUCACCCCAGUCAAAUGGGGUAGCCGAAAGAAAGAACCGAACUCUAACUGAUAUGGUUAACACCAUGUUAGACACUUCGGGUCUAUCCAAGGAAUGGUGGGGGAGAGGCGCUAAUGACUGCGUGUCAUGUCCUAAACCGAGUUCCCACAAAGCAUAAGACCAUGACUCCAUUUGAGGAAUGGAAAAGGAAAAGGUUGAAACUCUCUUACCUACGUACUUGGGGUUGUUUGGCGAAAGUCAAUAUACCAAUUCCCAAGAAGCGCAAGCUUGGACCAAAAACUGUGGAUUGUGUUCUUCUGGGCUAUGCUUUUCAUAGCAUCGGCUAUAGAUUUUUGAUAAUAAAAUCUGAGGUAUCCGACAUGCAUGUUGGUACGAUUAUGGAAUCAAAUGAUGCAACUUUCUUUGAGGACAUAUUUCCUAUGAAGGAUAUGUCGAGUUCAUCAAAUCAGGAGAUACCUACUCCAUCUAGUGAGGAAUUCACUGUAAUUCCUGAACCCACCAUUGCGAUGGAACACGUUGAGAAUUCUGUUGAGGGUAACAAUGGAACUCCUAUGAGGAGUAAGAGAUAGAGGACUGCAAAGUCUUUUGGUGAUGAUUUCAUUGUGUACCUCGUGGAUGACACACCCAGGACUAUUUCAGAAGCCUAUGCAUCUCCUGAUGUUGACUACUGAAAGGAAGUUGUACGUAGUGAGAUGGAUUCCAUCUUAGCUAACGGUACCUGGGAGAUCACUGAUCGUCCUUAUGGGUGCAAACCUAUAGGAUGUAAGUGGGUGUCAAGAAGAAGCUUAGACCUGAUGGUACGAUUGAAAAGUACAAGGCACGGCUUGUGGCCAAGGGUUAUACCCAGAAAGAAGGUGAAGACUUCUUUGAUACUUACUCACCCGUGGCUAGACUGACCACAAUUCGGGUGCUACUAUCACUGGCUGCCUCACAUGGUCUUCUCGUUCAUCAAAUGGACGUUAAGACGGCUUUCCUCAAUGGAGAGUUGAAGGAGGAAAUUUACAUGGAUCAACCAGAUGGUUUUGUAGUACCUGGUCAAGAAGGAAAGGUGUGCAAGUUAUUAAAGUCUUUAUAUGGCCUUAAACAAGCUCCUAAGGAGUGGCAUGAGAAGUUCGAAAGAACAUUAACUGCUGCCGGUUUUGUAGUAAACGAUGGUGACAAGUGCGUGUACUAUCGCUAUGGUGGGGGCGAAGGAGUUAUUCUUUGUCUGUAUGUCGACGACAUAUUGAUCUUUGGAACCAAACUUGAUUUAAUCAAGGAGGUUAAGGAUUUCUUAUCUCGUUGUUUUGAGAUGAAGGAUCUAGGAGUAGCUGAUGUUAUCUUAAACAUCAAGUUGUUGAGAGAUGAGAAUGGUGGGAUCACACUGCUUCAGUCUCAUUAUGUGGAAAAGGUCUUGAGUCGUUUUGGGUAUAGCGACUACACGCCUUCUCCAACUCCAUAUGAUGCUAGUGUGUUGCUUCGAAAGAAUCGACGGAUUGUUAGAGAUCAACUGAGGUAUUCUCAGAUUAUUGGCUCGCUUAUGUAUUUGGCGAGUGCCACGAGGCCUGACAUCUCUUUUGCUGUGAGCAAGCUGAGUCGGUUUGUGUCAAAACUGGGAGAUGAUCAUUGGCAUGCGCUUGAGAGAGUUAUGCGCUAUUUGAAAGGCACCGCGAGCUAUGGGAUUCACUACACCGGGUAUCCAAGGGUACUGGAGGGUUAUAGUGACUCAAACUGGAUAUCUGAUGCUGAUGAGAUUAAGGCCACAAGUGGCUAUGUUUUUACACUUGGUGGUGGCGCUGUUUCCUGGAAGUCUUGCAAGCAGACCAUCUUAACGAGGUCAACUAUGGAAGCAGAACUCACAGCAUUAGACACUGCCACUGUUGAAGCAGAGUGGCUUCGUGAACCCUUGAUGGACUUACCUAUGGUUGAAAAACCAAUACCCCCUAUCCUGAUGAACUGUGGUAAUCCAACUGUGAUCGUCAAGAUAAACAGUUCUAAGGACAAUAUGAAGUCCUCAAGGCAUGUGAAGAGAAGACUAAAAUCUGUCAGAAAAUUGAGGAACUCCGGAGUUAUUACGUUGGAUUAUAUCCAAACGUCAAAAAACUUGGCAGAUCCCUUCACAAAGGGUCUAUCACGUAAUGUGAUAGAUAAUGCAUCGAUGGAGAUGGGUUUGAGACCCACUGCAUGAGUUGUCCAUAGUGGUAAACCACUAUGUGAUCGGAGAUCCCGUGAAGUAGAAGUGGGAGACAAGCUGUUGGUCAGCUGGGAGGAGAGUAUCCCUAUAUUAAUUAUCCCAUUCCGUGGAGAUGCAAUACUCUCCUGAUCUGCAUGGCAGGUUGAUACUUAUCUUAAUGUGUUCCAAGUGGCUUAUUCGGGUAAGCAGAGAUGUUGUCCUGCAGAACAUCUUCUGAGGAACACACCUAUAUGAAUUUGGCUGUUAACAUCGCAGUCUGUGAGAAUUGGGUGUUCUCUAAUAAAUUCAUGAAAGGCCCUGGAGUAUGACAUAUACGCUCCACCCGCGGGGAAGCCUUGCGGCAGCCCAGUAUCGGUCAAGAAUUUGUGUGAAACUAGUUUCACAGAAAACUUGUAGUUCAAGGUAUAGUCCACUAUUCAAGUUGUGAUCUAGUGUAGCAUAAAUUUCUAAGUGGAAUUUCAACUUCACAGUCUCCACUAAGCACCGAUAUAUAAAGCAAUGUUUUGGAACUAAAUGAUGAGAUGUGCCAAUGAGACUUUGUGGGGGAUUGUUGGAAUUUUGCUAGUAGGCCUUUGGCCCAAAGCCAACUAAAAUUCUAAAAUUCUCUUGGCCCAUUCAUGCACACAUGUGAGUGGAGUGAGUGAGGCUAAAGUUUAGUCCCACCCCGGAAGUUGAGAGAGAGUUGCACCUCUUUAUAAGGUGAGCUCUUCUACCACUUGUAUGAGCAUGAGAAGAGGAGACCUACACGCGCGCUCCUCCUCCUCGCUCGCCUCGCCACGCCACGCCUCGUCACGACGCGCCGCGGGUUGCGGGAUUGAGCCGAGCCGAGGACAGAGCUAUGCACGUUGUCUAUAUUUUUGCUGCAUGGGAAAAUUAAUGAGUCAUUAAUUAAUAAUUAACAGACGCGUUAAUUACUGAACCGUUUCCGAUUCUUUUGGAUCGUGACGACUCAGACGUGGGGUUUACUCCCACGACCUACCCAGCCCGCACUUUAUAGUCAGGCAGACGUCUACCCUAGCCGCCGCCGCUUCGUAUGGUUUCUCACCACCGUUCCAGAUCAUUGCGCCGCCAAGCAAGUCUUCUCCAUCCCUCCUUCCGGCAUGCACCGCGAGAAGGGACAGCAGGCCUCCGGAACCCCGCCUCUCGUGGUCCUGUACGGGAGAGGGCGAUCAGGUUUUUGGGGAGCGCACUCGCGCAACUGCUGGCAGCGACGACUUCGCGAACGACGACUUCUUCCCCGACCUCGGCAACCUCGUCCUCGACGACAUGGGUGACAACGUCAACACCGGCGGUGCUGCACCCGCUGCACCAUAUGUGAUUCUAUCCUUCCUGUUCGAGAUCGUGGUAGAAUUCAUGCUUCUAGUAUGUGCCCUAGAUGUGAUAUGUUCAUCUGCUAUGCUAGUUCGCAUGAUUAGUUUAAUCUCUCCUGUUGUGGUCAUGAUUUAUCUUCUGUUUAUUCGGAUUAAAUCUCGUAGUAAUUUGCUCAUAUUUCCAACAAUCCAAAAACCUGAUUAUAGGCAAUUUACUCCGAGUGGUUUUACUGUGCAUCUGAAGCCGCCUGCCUUUAAGGGGGCGCAAUAUAAGAGGUGGCGCACGAGAGCAGUCUACUGGUUUCAGACCAUGGGCUGCUAUGAUGCCACCAAGGGCAAGCCUGAGGGCGAUCUUAAUCCAGCACAGCUGGAAGCUUUUGAGAAGAUCGAUACCCUCUUUAAAGGCGCUCUUCUGAGUGUUCUUGAUGACACCAUUGUGGAUUCGUAUAUGUCGUCUGACAACGGCAAGGACAUGUGGGCUGCGCUCAAGGCCAAGUUUGGUGCCUCGGACGCCGGCAGCGAGUUGUACGUCAUGGAGCAAUUCUAUGACUACAAGAUGACUGAUGAGCGCCCUGUUGUACAGCAGGCUCAUGAGAUACAGUCGCUCGCAAAAGAACUUGAGUACUUCAAGUGUGUGUUGACGGACAAAUUUGUUUUCAGAGGCAUCAUUGCCAAGCUUCCACCUUCCUGGAACAAUUUUGCUACUUCCCUGAAACACAAGAGACAGGAGUUUUCCGUUGCGGAUCUCAUUGGUACUCUUGAUGUUGAAGAGAAGGCGAGAGCAAAGGACACACGUGCUCGAGUUGCCGAGGGAGGUUCUAGUGCCCACAUGGUACAGAAGAAGAACUCCCAGCCCAACAAGUUCAAAAACAAUAAGAACAAAACUCAGGGCAAAGGCAAGUUUGAUACAAAGAACAAGCCAUCACAUUCUACCAACUUCAAGAAGAAUUCUCAUAAGAAGGGGAAGGGACUUUGCCAUGUCUGUGGUGAUCCUAAUCAUUGGGAUCCGAAGUGUCCUAACCGCUUUGAGGAGCUCGAACAUGAGAAGAGCGGCAAGUCCGCUAAUGUUGUCAUCGGUGAUACUGAUAUGAAGGAAUCAGGGUACGGUAUUUUUCCUACCAUCCUUUCAGUAUUUCAAUCCCCUGAUUGGUUAGUUGACACCGGUGCCAAUGUACAUGUUUGUGCUGACGCCUCCAUGUUUUCUUCUUACCAGGCAACAUGCCAUCGUUCGAGGUGUUGGUACGGUCGAUCUGAAGUUUACUUCGGGGAAGACUGUGCAUCUGAAGAACGUUCAUCAUGUGUCGUCCAUCAAUAAAAAUCUCGUUAGCGGUUCCCGUUUAUGUCGAGAUGGUUUUAAGUUGGUUUUCGAAUCCAAUAAAGUUGUAAUUUCUAAGUGUGGGCAAUUUGUUGGAAAAGGCUAUGAGUGCGGAGUCUUGUUCCGCCUAUCUUUGUCAGAUAUUUGCACUAAAGUUAUUAAUAAUGUUUGCCACAAUAAUGAGUCUGAUAUUUGGCAUUCACGACUCUGUCAUAUUAACUUUGGUUGCAUGACGCGGUUAGACAAUAUGAAUUUAAUUCCGAAAAUCUCUACUGUCAAAGGCUCGAAGUGCAAAGUAUGUGUGCAAGCUAAGCAACCUCGCAAGUCCCAUAAGACUACAAAGGCAAGAGACUUGGCGCCACUAGAGCUUAUACAUUCUGAUCUUUGUGAGAUGAAUGACGUGUUGACAAAAGGUGGAAAUAGAUACUUCAUGACGUUGAUGUUGGGUUUCGUAGUAAUUUCAAAAAAAAAAAUCCUACGCACACGCAAGAUCAUGGUGAUGCAUAGCAACAAGAGGGGAGAGUGUUGUCUACGUACCCACACAGACCGACCGCGGAAGCGUUGACACAACAUAGAGGAAGUAGUCGUACGUCUUCAUGAUCUGACCGAUCCAAGCACCGUUACUCCGGCACCUCCGAGUUCUUAGCACACGUACAACUCGAUGACGAUCCCCGGGCUCCGAUCCAGCAAAGCGUCGGGGAGGAGUUCCGUCAGCACGACGGCGUGGUGACGAUCUUGAUGUUCUACCGACUCAGGGCUUCGCCUAAGCACUACAACGAUAUGACCGAGGUGGAAUAUGGUGGCAGGGGGCACCGCACACGACUAAGGAACGAUCACGUGGAUCAACUUGUGUGUCUAGAGGUGCCCCCUGCCUCCGUAUAUAAAGGAGCCAAGGGGGAGGGGGCUGCCGGCUAGGAGGAGGGCGCAGGAGGAGUCCUACUCCUACCGGGAGUAGGACUCCCCCCCAAAUCCUAGUUGGAUUAGGAUUCCCCGAGGGGGAAAGAGAGAGAGGGGGGCCGGCCACCUCUCCUAGUCCUAAUAGGACUAGGGGAGGGGGGAGGCGCGCGGCCACCUUGGGCUGCCCCUUUCUUCUUUCCACUAAAGCCCAUUAAGGCCCAUAUGGCUCCCGGGGGGUUCUGGUAACCUCCCGGUACUCCAGUAAAAUCCCGAUUUCACCCGGAACACUUCCGAUGUCCAAAUAUAGGCUUCCAAUAUAUCAAUCUUUAUGUCUCGACCAUUUCGAGACUCCUCGUCAUGUCCGUGAUCACAUCCGGGACUCCGAACUAACUUCGGUACAUCAAAAUGCAUAAACUCAUAAUAACUGUCAUCGUAACGUUAAGCGUGCGGACCCUAUGGUUCGAGAACAAUGUAGACAUGACUGAGACACGUUUCCGGUCAAUAACCAAUAGCGGGACCUGGAUGCCCAUAUUGGCUCCUACAUAUUCUACGAAUAUCUUUAUCGGUCAGACCGCAUAACAACAUACGUUGUUCCCUUUGUCAUCGGUAUGUUACUUGCCCGAGAUUCGAUCGUCGGUAUCCAAUACCUAGUUCAAUCUCGUUACUGGCAAGUCUCUUUACUCGUUCCGUAAUACAUCAUCCCGCAACUAACUCAUUAGUUGCAAUGCUUGCAAGGCUUAAGUGAUGUGCAUUACCGACAGGGCCCAGAGAUACCUCUCCGACAAUCGGAGUGACAAAACCUAAUCUCGAAAUACGCCAACCCAACAUGUACCUUUGGAGACACCUGUAGUACUCCUUUAUAAUCACCCAGUUACGUUGUGACGUUUGGUAGUACCCAAAGUGUUCCUCCGGUAAACGGGAGUUGCAUAAUCUCAUAGUUAUAGGAACAUGUAUAAGUCAUGAAGAAAGCAAUAGCAACAUACUAAACGAUCGGGUGCUAAGCUAAUGGAAUGGGUCAUGUCAAUCACAUCAUUCUCCCAAUAAUGUGAUCCCGUUAAUCAAAUAACAACUCUUUUGUUUAUGGUUAGGAAACAUAACCAUCUUCGAUUAACGAGCUAGUGAAGUAGAGGCAUACUAGUGACACUUUGUUUGUCUAUGUAUUCACACAUGUAUUAUGUUUCCGGUUAAUACAAUUCUAGCAUGAAUAAUAAACAUUUAUCAUGAAAUAAGGAAAUAAAUAAUAACUUUAUUAUUGCCUCUAGGGCAUAUUUCCUUCAGUCUCCCACUUGCACUAGAGUCAAUAAUCUAGUUCACAUUGCUAUGUGAUUUAACAACAACAGUUCACAUCACCAUGUGAUUAACACCCAUAGUCCACAUCGAUAUGCGACCAACACCCAAAGGGUUUACUAGAGUCAGUAAUCUAGUUCACAUCGCUAUGUGAUUAACACCCAAAGAGUACUAAGGUGUGAUCAUGUUUUGCUUGUGAGAUAAUUUUAGUCACCGAGUCUGUUAUAUUCAGAUCCGUAAGUAUUUUGCAAAUAUUUAUGUCAACAAUGCUCUGCACGGAGCUACUCUAGCUAAUUGCUCCCACUUUCAAUAUGUAUCUAGAUUGAGAUUUAGAUUCAUCUAGAUUAGUGUCAAAACUUGCAUCGACGUAACCCUUUACGACGAACCUUUUGUCACUUCCAUAAUCGUGAAAUAUUUCCUUAUUCCACUAAGGAUAAUUUUGACCGCUGUCCAGUGAUCUACUCUUAGAUCACUAUUGUACUCCCUUGCUUAACACAGUGUAGGGUAUACAAUAGAUCUGGUACACAGCAUGGCAUACUUUAUAGAACCUAUGGCUGAGGCAUAGGGAAUGACUUUCAAUCUAUUUCUAUCUUCUGUCGUGGUCGGGCUUUGAGUCUUACUCAAUUUCACACCUUGCAACACAGGCAAGAACUCUUUCUUUGACUGUUCCAUUUUGAACUACUUCAAAAUCUUGUCAAGGUAUGUACUCAUUGAAAAACUUGUCAAGCAUCUUGAUCUAUCUCUAUAGAUCUUGAUGCUCAAUAUGUAAGCAGCUUUACCGAGGUCUUUCAUUGAAAAACUCUUAUUCAAGUAUCCCUUUAUGCUAUCCAGAAAUUCUACAUCAUUUCCAAUUAGUAAUAUGUCAUCCACAUAUAAUAUCAGAAAUGCUACAGAGCUCCCACUCACUUUCUUGUAUAUACAGGCUUCACCGCAAGUCUGUAUAAAACUUAUAUGCUUUGAUCAACUUAUCAAAGCGUAUAUUCCAACUCCGAGAUGUUUGCACCAGUCCAUAGAUGGAUCGCUGGAGCUUGCAUAUUUUGUUAGCACCUUUAGGAUUGACAAAACCUUCUGGUUGUAUCAUAUACAACUCUUCUUUAAUAAAUCUAUUAAGGAAUGCAGUUUUGUUUAUCCAUUUGCCAGAUUUCAUAAAAUGCGGCAAUUGCUAACAUGAUUCGGACAGACUUAAGCAUAGAUACGAGUGAGAAACUCUCAUCGUAGUCAACACCUUGAACUUUGUCGAAAACCUUUUGCGACAAUUCUAGCUUUGUAGAUAGUAACACUACUAGCAGCAUCCGCCUUCCUCUUGAAGAUCCAUUUAUUUUCUAUGGCUUUGCCGAUCAUCGAGCAAAUCCAUCAAAGUCCAUACUUUGUUCUCAUACAUGGAUCAUAUCUCAGAUUUCAUGGCCUCAAACCAUUUCGCGGAAUCUGGGCUCAUCAUCGCUUCCUCAUAGUUCGCAAGUUCGUCAUGGUCUAGUAACAUGACUUCCAGAACAGGAUUACCGUACCACUCUGGUGCGGAUCUCACUCUGGUUUACCUGCGAGAUUCGGUAGUAACUUGAUCUGAAGUUACAUGAUCAUCAUCAUUAGCUUCCUCACUAAUUGGUGUAGUAGUCACAGGAACAGAUUUCUGUGAUGAACAACUUUCCAAUAAGGGAGCAGGUACAGUUACCUCGUCAAGUUCUACUUUCCUCCCACUCACUUCUUUCGAGAGAAACUCCUUCUCCAGAAAGUUUCUGAAUUUAGCAACAAAAGUCUUGCCUUCGGAUCUGUGAUAGAAGGUGUAUCCAAUAGUCUCCUUUGGAUAUCCUAUGAAGAUUUACUUCUCUGAUUUGGGUUCGAGCUUAUCAUGUUGAAACUUUUUCACAUAAGCAUCGCAGUCCCAAACCUUAAGAAACGACAACUUUGGUUUCUUGCCAAACCACAAUUCAGAUUGUGUCGUCUCAACGGACUUAGAUGGUGCCCUAUUUAACGUGAAUGCAGCUGUCUCUAAUGCAUAACCCCAAAACGAUAGUGGUAGAUCGGUAAGAGACAUCAUAGGUUGCACUAUAUCCAAUAAAGUACGGUUAUGACGUUCGGACACACCAUUAUGCUGUGGUGUUCCAUGUGGCAUGAGUUUGUGAAACUAUUGCACAUUGUUUUAAUUGAAGACCAAACUCGUAACUCAAAUAUUUGUCUCCACGAUCAGAUCAUAGAAACUUUAUUUUCUUGUCACGAUGAUUUUCCACUUCACUCUGAAAUUCUUUGAACUUUUCAAAUGUUUUAGACUUAUGUUUCAUCAAGUAGAUAUACCCAUAUCUGCUCAAAUCAUCUGUGAAGUUCAGAAAAUAACGAUACUUGCCGUGAGCCUUAACACUCAUCGGACCGCAUACAUCAGUAUGUAUUAUUUCCAAUAAGUCAGUUGCUCGCUCCGGAGAACGGAGUCUUAGUCAUCUUUCCCAUGAGGCAUGGUUCGCAAGCAUCAAGUGAUUCAUAAUCAAGUGAUUCCAAAAUCCCAUCAGCAUGGAGUUUCUUCAUGCGCUUUACACCAAUAUGACCUAAACGGCAGUGCUACAAAUAAGUUGCACUAUCAUUAUUAACUUUGCAUCUUUUGGUUUCAAUAUUAUGAUUAUGUGUAUCACUAUGAUUGAGAUCCAACGAACUAUUUUCAUUGGGUGUGUAAUCAUAUAAGGUUUUAUUCAUGUGAACAGAACAACAAUUUAUUCUCUUACUUAAAUGAAUAACCGUAUUACAAUAAACAUGAUCAAAUCAUAUUCAUGCUUAAUGCAAACACCAAAUAACACUUAUUCAGGUUCAACACUAAUCCCGAAAGUAUAGGGAGUGUGCGAUGAUGAUCAUAUCAAUCUUGGAACCACUUCCAACACACAUCGUCACUUCACCCUUAACUAGUCUCUGUUUAUUCUGCAACUCCCGUUUCGAGUUACUAAUCUUAGCAACUGAACUGUAUCAAAUACUGAGGGGUUGCUAUCAACACUAGUAAAGUACACAUCAAUAACAUGUAUAUCAAAUAUACUUAUGUUCACUUUGCCAUCCUUCUUAUCUGCCAAUCACUUGGGGUAGUUCCGCUUCCAGUGACCAGUCCCUUUGCAGUAGAAACACUUAGUCUCAGGCUUAGGACCAGACUUGGGCUUCUUCACUUGAGCAGCAACUUGCUUGCUGUUCUUCUUGAAGUUCCCCUUCUUCCCUCUGCCCUUUUCUUGAAACUAGUGGUCUUGUCUAUCAUCAAUACUUGAUGUUUUUCUCGAUUUCUACCUUCGUCAAUUUCCGCAUUACGAAGAGCUUGGGAAUCGUUUCCGUUAUCCCUUGCAUAUCAUAGUUCAUCACGAAGUUUUACUAACUUGGUGAUGGUGACUAGAGAAUUCUGUCAAUCACUAUCUUAUCUAGAAGAUUAACUCCCACUUGAUUCAAGCGAUUGUAGUACUCAGACAAUCUGGGCACAUGCUCACUAGUUGAGCGAUUCUCCUCCAUCUUUUAGCUAUAGAACUUGUUGGAGACUUCAUAUCUCUCAACUCGGGUAUUUGCUUGAAAUAUUAACUUCAACUCCAGGAACAUCUCAUAUGGUCCAUGACGUUCAAAAUGUCUUUGAAGUCCCGAUUCUAAGCCGUUAAGCAUGGUGCACUAAACUAUCAAGUAGUCAUCAUAUUGAGCUAGCCAAACGUUCAUAACGUCUGCAUCUGAUCCUGCAAUAGGUCUGUCACCUAGCGGUGCAUCAAGGACAUAAUUCUUCUGUGCAGCAAUGAGGAUAAACCUCAGAUCACGGAUCCAAUCCGCAUCAUUGCUACUAACAUCUUUCAACACAAUUUUAUCUAGGAAUCUAUCAAAAUAAACACAGGGAAGCAACAACGCGAGCUAUUGAUCUAUAACAUAAUUUGCAAAAUACUACUAGGACUAAGUUCAUGAUAAAUUUAAGUUCAAUUAAUCAUAUUACUUAAGAACUCCCACUUAGAUAGACAUCCCUCUAAUCCUCUAAGUGAUCACGUGAUCCAAAUCAACUAAACCAUGUCCAAUCAUCACGUGAGAUGGAGCAGUUUCAUUGGUGAACAUCACUAUGUUGAUCAUAUCUACUAUAUGAUUCACGCUCGACCUUUCAGUCUCCGUGUUCCGAGGCCAUAUCUGUAUAUGCUUAGCUCGUCAAGUAUAACCUGAGUAUUCUGCGUGUGCAACUGUUUUGCACCCGUUGUAUUUGAACGUAGAGCCUAUCACACCCGAUCAUCACGUGGUGUCUCAGCACGAAGAACUUUCGCAACAGUGCAUAAUCAGGGAGAACACUUCUUGAUAAUUAGUGAGAGAUCAUCUUAAAAUGCUACCGUCAAACUAAGCAAAAUAAGAUGUAUAAAAGAUAAACAUCAUAUGCAAUCAAAAUAUGUGACAUGAUAUGGCCAUCAUCAUCUUGCACCUUUGAUUUCCAUCUCCAAAGUACUGUUAUGAUCUCUAUCGUCACCGGCAUGACACCAUGAUCUCCAUCAUCUUGAUCUAUAUCAAUGUGUCGUCACGUGGUCGUCUCGCCAACAAUUGCUCUUGCAACUAUUGCUAUCCCAUAGCGAUAAAGUAAAGCAGUUAUUGGGUGCUUGCAUCUUAUGCAAUAGAGAGACAACCAUAAGGAUUUUGCCAGUUGCCGAUAACUUCAACAAAACAUGAUCAUCUCAUACAACAACUUAUAUCUCAUCACGUCUUGACCAUAUCACAUCACAACAUGCCCUGCAAAAACAAGUUAGACGUCCUCUACUUUGUUGUUGCAAGUUUUACGUGGCUGCUACGGGCUUUAAGCAAGAACCAAUCUUACCUACGCAUCAAAACCACAACGAUAGUUUGUCAAGUUGGUGCUGUUUUAACCUUCGCAAGGACCGGGCGUAGCCACACUUGGUUCAACUAAAGUUGGAGAAACUGUCACCCGCUAGCCACCUUUGUGCAAAGCACGUCGGGAGAACCGGUCUCGCGUAAGCGUACGCGUAAUGUCAGUCCGGGACGCUUCAUCCAACAAUACCACCGAACCAAAGUAUGACAUGCUGGUAAGCAGUAUGACUUAUAUCGCCCACAACUCACUUGUGUUCUACUCGUGCAUAUAACAUCAACAUAUAAAACCUAGGCUCUGAUACCACUGUUGGGUUUCGUAGUAAUUUCAAAAAAAUUCCUACGCACACGCAAGAUCAUGGUGAUGCAUAGCAACGAGAGGGGAGAGUGUUGUCUACGUACCCACGCAGACCGACUGUGGAAGCGUUGACACAACAUAGAGGAAGUAGUCGUACGUCUUCACGAUCCGACCGAUCCAAGCACCGUUACUCCGGAACCUCCGAGUUCUUAGCACACGUACAGCUUGAUGACGAUCCCGGGCUCCGAUCCAGCAAAGCGUCGGGGAGGAGUUCCGUCAGCACGACGGCGUGGUGACGAUCUUGAUGUUCUACCGACGCAGGGCUUCGCCUAAGCACUACAACGAUAUGACCGAGGUGGAAUAUGGUGGCAGGGGGCACCGCACACGGCUAAGGAACGAUCGCGUGGAUCAACUUGUGUGUCUAGAGGUGCCCCCUGCCUCCGUAUAUAAAGGAGCCAAGGGGGAGGGGGCCGCCGGCCAGGAGGAGGGCGCAGGAGGAGUCCUACUCCUACCGGGAGUAGGACUCCCCCCCCCCCCCAAAUCCUAGUUGGAUUAGGAUUCCCCGAGGGGGAAACAGAGAGAGGGGGGCCGGCCACCUCUCCUAGUCCUAAUAGGACUAGGGGAGGGGGGAGGCGCACGACCACCUUGGGCUGCCCCUUUCUCCUUUCCACUAAAGCCCAUUAAGGCCCAUAUGGCUCCCGGGGGGUUCCGGUAACCUCCCGGUACUCCGGUAAAAUCCCGAUUUCACCCGGAACACUUUCGAUGUCCAAAUAUAGGCUUCCAAUAUAUCAAUCUUUAUGUCUCGACCAUUUCGAGACUCCUCAUCAUGUCCGUGAUCACAUCCGGGACUCCGAACUAACUUCGGUACAUCAAAAUGCAUAAACUCAUAAUAACUGUCAUCGUAACGUUAAGCGUGCGGACCCUACGGUUCGAGAACAAUGUAGACAUGACCGAGACACGUUUCCGGUCAAUAACCAAUAGCGGGACCUGGAUGCCCAUAUUGGCUCCUACAUAUUCUACGAAGAUCUUUAUCGGUCAGACCGCACAACAAGAUACGUUGUUCCCUUUGUCAUCGUAUGUUACUUGCCCGAGAUUCAAUCGUCGGUAUCCAAUACCUAGUUCAAUCUCGUUACCGGCAAGUCUCUUUACUCGUUCCGUAAUACAUCAUCCCGCAACUAACUCAUUAGUUGCAAUGCUUGCAAGGCUUAAGUGAUGUGCAUUACCGACAGGGCCCAGAGAUACCUCUCCGACAAUCGGAGUGACAAAACCUAAUCUCGAAAUAUGCCAACCCAACAUGUACCUUUGGAAACACCUGUAGUACUCCUUUAUAAUCACCCAGUUACGUUGUGAUGUUUGGUAGUACCCAAAGUGUUCCUCCGGUAAACGGGAGUUGCAUAAUCUCAUAGUUAUAGGAACAUGUAUAAGUCAUGAAGAAAGCAAUAGCAACAUACUAAACGAUCGGGUGCUUAGCUAAUGGAAUGAGUCAUGUCAAUCACAUCAUUCUCCCAAUAAUGUGAUCCCGUUAAUCAAAUAACAACUCUUUUGUUUAUGGUUAGGAAAAAUAACCAUCUUCGAUUAACGAGCUAGUCAAGUAGAGGCAUACUAGUGACACUUUAUUUGUCUAUGUAUUCACACAUUUAUUAUGUUUCCGGUUAAUACAAUUCUAGCAUGAAUAAUAAACAUUUAUCAUGAAAUAAGGAAAUAAAUAAUAACUUUAUUAUUGCCUCUAGGGCAUAUUUCCUUCAGUUGAUUGAUGACUCCACUAGAUAUUGUUACGUGUAUCUUCUGAAAUCAAAAGAUGAGGCUUUGACUUUCUUUAAAAACUAUAAAGCUAAGGCAGAGAACCAACUUGAUCGAAAAAUUAAACGGCUUAGGUCCGAUCGUGGUGGAGAGUAUUUUUCCAAUGAUUUUGAUCUGUUUUGUGCGGAACAUGGUAUAAUCCAUUAAAGGACGCCUCCCUACUCACCCCAGUCAAAUGGGGUAGCCGAAAGAAAGAACCAAACUCUAACUGAUAUGGUUAACACCAUGUUAGACACUUCGGGUCUAUCCAAGGAAUGGUGGGGGGAGGCGCUAAUGACUGCGUGUCAUGUCCUAAACCGAGUUCCCACAAAGCAUAAGACCAUGACUCCAUUUGAGGAAUGGGAAAGGAAAAGGAUGAAACUCUCUUACCUACGUACUUGGGGUUGUUUGGCGAAAGUCAAUAUACCAAUUCCCAAGAAGCGCAAGCUUGGACCAAAAACCGUGGAUUGUGUUCUUCUGGGCAAUGCUUUUCAUAGCAUCGGCUAUAGAUUUUUGAUAAUAAAAUCUGAGGUAUCCGACAUGCAUGUUGGUACGAUUAUGGAAUCAAAUGAUGCAACUUUCUUUGAGGACAUAUUUCCUAUGAAGGACAUGUCGAGUUCAUCAAAUCAGAAGAUACCUACUCCAUCUAGUGAGGAAUUCACUGUAAUUCCUGAACCCACCAUUGCGAUGGAACACGUUGAGAAUCCUGUUGAGGGUAACAAUGGAACUCCUAUGAGGAGUAAGAGACAGAGGACUGCAAAGUCUUUUGGUGAUGAUUUCAUUGUGUACCUCGUGGAUGACACACCCAGGACUAUUUCAGAAGCCUAUGCAUCUCCUGAUGUUGACUACUGGAAGGAAGCUGUACGUAGCGAGAUGGAUUCCAUCUUAGCUAACGGUACCUGGGAGAUCACUGACCAUCCUUAUGGGUGCAAACCUGUAGGAUGUAAGUGGGUGUCAAGAAGAAGCUUAGACCUGAUGGUACGAUUGAAAAGUACAAGGCACGGCUUGUGGCCAAGGGUUAUACCCAGAAAGAAGGUGAAGACUUCUUUGAUACUUACUAACCCGUGGCUAGACUGACCACAAUUCGGGUGCUACUAUCACUGGCUGCCUCACAUGGUCUUCUCGUUCAUCAAAUGGACGUUAAGAUGGCUUUCCUCAAUGGAGAGUUGAAGAAGGAAAUUUACAUGGAUCAGCCAGAUGGUUUUGUAGUACCUGGUCAAGAAGGAAAGGUGUGCAAGUUAUUAAAGUCUUUAUAUGGCCUUAAACAAGCUCCUAAGGAGUGGCAUGAGAAGUUCGAAAGAACAUUAACUGCUGCCGGUUUUGUAGUAAACGAUGGUGACAAGUGCGUGUACUAUCGCUAUGGUGGGGGCAAAGGAGUUAUCCUUUGUCUGUAUGUCGACGACAUAUUGAUCUUUGGAACCAAACUUGAUUUAAUCAAGGAGGUUAAGGAUUUCUUAUCUCGCUGUUUUGAGAUGAAGGAUCUAGGAGUAGCUGAUGUUAUCUUAAACAUCAAGCUGUUGAGAGAUGAGAAUGGUGGGAUCACACUGCUUCAGUCUCAUUAUGUGGAAAAGGUCUUGAGUCGUUUUGGGUAUAGCAACUGCACGCCUUCUCCAACUCCAUAUGAUGCUAGUGUGUUGCUUCGAAAGAAUCGACAGAUUGUUAGAGAUCAACUGAGGUAUUCUCAGAUUAUUGGCUCGCUUAUGUAUUUGGCGAGUGCCACGAGGCUUGACAUCUCUUUUGCUGUGAGCAAGCUGAGUCGGUUUGUGUCAAAACCGGGAGAUGAUCAUUGGCAUGCGCUUGAGAGAGUUAUGCGCUAUUUGAAAGGCACCGCGAGCUAUGGGAUUCACUACACCGGGUAUCCAAGGCUACUGGAGGGUUAUAGUGACUCAAACUGGAUAUCUGAUGCUGAUGAGAUUAAGGCCACAAGUGGCUAUGUUUUUACACUUGGUGGUGGCGCUGUUUCCUGGAAGUCUUGCAAGCAGACCAUCUUAACGAGGUCAACUAUGGAAGCAGAACUCACGGCAUUAGACACUGCCACUGUUGAAGCAGAGUGGCUUCGUGAACUCUUGAUGGACUUACCUAUGGUUGAAAAACCAAUACCCCCUAUCCUGAUGAACUGUGAUAAUCCAACUGUGAUCGUCAAGAUAAACAGUUCUAAGGAUAAUAUGAAGUCCUCAAGGCAUGUGAAGAGGAGACUAAAAUCUGUCAGAAAAUUGAGGAACUCCGGAGUUAUUACAUUGGAUUAUAUCCAAACAUCGAAAAACUUGGCAGAUCCCUUCACAAAGGGUCUAUCACGUAAUGUGAUAGAUAAUGCAUCGAUGAAGAUGGGUUUGAGACCCACCGCAUGAGUUGUCCAUAGUGGUAAACCACUCUAUGUGAUCGGAGAUCCCGUGAAGUAGAAGUGGGAGACAAGCUGUUGGUCAGCUGGGAGGAGAGUAUCCCUAUAUUAAUUAUCCCACUCCGUGGAGAUGCAAUACUCUCCUGAUCUGCAUGGCAGGUUGAUACUUAUCUUAAUGUGUUCCAAGUGGCUUAUUCGGGUAAGUAGAGAUGUUGUCCUGCAGAACAUCUUCUGAGGAACACACCUAUAUGAAUUUGACUGUUAACGUCGCAGUCUGUGAGAAUUGGGUGUUCUCUAAUAAAUUCAUGAAAGGCCCUGGAGUAUGACGUAUACGCUCCACCCGCGGGGAAGCCUUGCGGCAGCCUAGUAUCGGUCAAGAAUUUGUGUGAAACUAGUUUCACAGAAAACUUGUAGUUCAAGGCAUAGUCCACUAUUCAAGUUGUGAUCUAGUGUAGCAUAAAUUUCUAAGUGGAAGUUCAACUUCACAGUCUCCACUAAGCAACGAUAUAUAAAACAAUGUUUUGGAACUAAAUGAUGAGAUGUGCCAAUGAGACUUUGUGGGGGAUUGUUGGAAUUUUGCUAGUAGGCCUUUGGCCCAAAGCCCAACUAAAAUUCUAAAAUUCUCUUGGCCCAUUCAUGCACACAUGUGAGUGGAGUGAGUGAGGCUAAAGUUUAGUCCCACCCCGGAAGUUGAGAGAGAGUUGCACCUCUUUAUAAGGUGAGCUCUUCUACCACUUGUAUGAGCAUGAGAAGAGGAGACCUACACGCACGCUCCUCCUCCUCGCUCGCCUCGCCACGCCACGCCUCGUCACGAUGCACCGCGGGUUGCGGGAUUGAGCCGAGCCGAGGACAGAGCUAUGCACGUUGUCUAUAUUUUUGCUGCAUGGGAAAAUUAAUGAGUCAUUAAUUAAUAAUUAACGGAUGCGUUAAUUACUGAACCGUUUUCGAUUCUUUUGGAUUGUGACGACUCGGACGUGGGGUUUACUCCCACGACCUACCCGACCCGCACUAUAUAGUCAGGCAGACAUCUACCCUAGUCGCCGCCGCUUUGUAUGGUUUCUCACCACCGUUCUAGAUCAUUGCGCCGCCAAGAAAGUCUUCUCCAUCCCUCCUUCUGGCGUGCACCGAGAGAAGGGACAGCAGGCCUUCGGAACCCUGCCUCUCGUGAUCCUGUACGGGAGAGGGCGAUCAGGUUUUCGGGGAGCGCACUCGCGCGACUGCUGGCAGCGACGACUUUGCGAACGACGACUUCUUCCCCGACCUCGGCAACCUCGUCCUCGACGACAUGGGCGACAACGUCAACGCCGGCGGUGCUGCACCCGCUGCACCGUAUGUGAUUCUAUCCUUCCUGUUCGAGAUCGUGGUAGAAUUCAUGCUUCUAGUAUGUGCCCUAGAUGUGAUAUGUUCAUCCGCUAUGCUAGUUCGCAUGAUUAGUUUAAUCUCUACUGCUGUGGUCAUGAUUUAUCUUAUGUUUAUUCGGAUUAAAUCUCGUAGUAAUUUGCUCAUAUUUCCAACAACUCAUGUCCGUUCUGCAAUCAGGAAGAUGAAACUCUAAACCACAUACUACUUAGGUAUGGCUACACAUUUGCGUUGCACUUGACAUACCGGCGUGGGCACCUAGUGCGACAGAUGUAUGAUCCGACUGGUGCCUCGGUAGAGUGAAGUAGGGUCUAAGCAUCAGGACCACUCGAACAAUUAUCCUGCUUGGCCUUUGGGAGAUGUGGAAGAAUCGCAAUGCAGUGGUCUUUGAUGAUGCUACCCCGAAGAUUGCCGCAGUCAUGUGCCGCGUGGAACAGGAAGGAUGAACAUGGUGGAAUGCAGGGCUCAUAGGAGGCAGUGUAGAGGAGUUGUUUGGUAGGUUGAGUAGGUGGAGCAGCCGUGAGUAGUCAUUUUGUAAGCGUGUGAGUGUGAAAUGGACAAGUUGUGAAGGUGUAGCAUGUAAUAUGUAAUCGCAACAUCGGUGGAAGGUUCUUUAUAGCCUUUUCCCUCUCUUUACAAAAUGAUACGCACGCUAUGCUUAUACUAGUUAAAACUUAAAUAAUACUUACAUUGUCUGUUAAAAAAUUAGCAAGAAAAACUGAAGGUGCAUCCACCCACACAGAAGGAGUGUUUACACACACCCCACCCAGCUAGCUCAUGAACGACAUUAGACUCUCUAUUACAGUGCUCAAUAGUAAUCUUCCCGAACUUUCUCGAUCACCAUAGAAUGGUAACUUUGCCCAGUGUAGCCACAACCAUAACCGCCUAAUUAAAUCCAAUCAAUCCGUAGUUGCUACGUACCACGAACCAUCUGAAGAACAUGCAGUGCCUCAUGUUUGGUUUUGGUAAUUGAUAACAAUCUCUAUGGACUAAUGGUUGCCUUGAGUUAUAUUUGAAGGAUUUGUCCAUAGGCAUAUCAUGAAGUCCAUGUGUUGAUUUCAAGGAGUUUAUGUGUUGACCAAGAUACCAUUCAAGGAAUUAUCCAAAUAUUGAUCCUAGAGAAGAUGUGAUACAAGGUUGAUCAAGACUAAGUCAAAGAGUGAAUCAAGUUUAUCAACACACAAAGCAUACAAGAUGUACUGAGAGGGAUCAAGUGAUCCCAUGGUAUGGUAAGCAUUGUCCAUUACAUUUUGGGUACUAACCCAUGGUCUACGUGAAAGUUCUAUGUGGGGUUAGGUAUGUUCCCAUGGCCUUGCGUCAAGAGGAAGAUCUCAUACAACCCAUGAAGGAUGACAUCAAGUGGUGGUCCUCAUCAAGGUUGCGGUGCCCAAGUUCAAGUGGAGCAUCACAUUGAGAUCACUUGAUGCUUGCCGUCCAUUGUGGUGACAAUGAAUUUGUGAAGAUGUGCCGAAGAGUGGCUCACCCAUAGUGAAGUAUGAGAGGGUAAUCAAGUAGUUUUCAUCAAACCAACACAAUCAAAAGCAGUGAUUUGGUGGGUUCGUUAUCUUUUGCUUUUCCGUCUUUCUUACAAAAAGUGCGUGAAGUGUUUGUGAUCAAGUCGUCCUUUACUUAAUGGAACAUGCUACAUGUUAAUUGACUUGUCUUUUGUAAAGAUUGACCGGGUGACAAGCCAUUGGAUCUACUCACGAUAGUCAUUCAAUCCUAUGUUUGCAAUAUGAGUCAUGUUACGUUGGGAGAUUUGCAAACAAGAUUCAUGCUGCGUUCGUAGAUUCUCAAGAUGAGUGCUUUGUAACACGAGUCAUGUUGCACUUAGAGAUUCACAACAUGACCCAUGUUGCAUUCAGAGGUUUGCAGCCAGAUCUUUCCAACACGAGCCAUGUUACCACCGCAACAUAUUCAUCCUCGUCUUGAAGUCAUCGCCAUGCCAACGUCAUUGUCGUUGGAAAAAAUAGGCGUCAUUGUUGCAAUAUGUCCACCCUCUCCUUGUAGUAGUUUCUGAUCUCUCUGGCCUCUGUAACCCUGGUCGUCGUCGCCGUCACCAUCGAAGCAGCAUCGGCCCACGUCAUCGCGCCCUUGGUAACUUGGACCUCAAUCAUGAUCUAGAGCUGCAGUGCCCAUGGCUGCCUUGCAGCAUUGCCGUCGUCAUCGGAAACACCCGUCACCCCUGCAACUGUGGUGGCCGUUGGCAUCGCAACAAUGGUGCCCGCCGCCAGCCAGCCACUGGAGCACGACUCACAAUGACGUUGCCCUGCCCCCCCCCCCUCAUGUCAAAUUUGGAACAAAAAAUUUCUACUUUUUAAUUCAUGAAUAUUUUUUAAUUCAUGAUUUUUCUUUCAAAUUGCAAACAUUUUUUAAAUCAUGUUUUUUAAAAUUCUUGAACUUAUCCAAAUUCCUGUAAAAUUUAAAAUUGAUGAAUACUUUUUGAAAUUCAUGAUUUGUUUUCGCAAGACCAUUUUAAUUUUUUUAUAUUUUUCCAAUUCCGGACAUUUAUUAACUUCAUGAAUAUUCUUUAAAUUUAUGAAAUUUCUCUAAAAUCCAUGAUCUUCUUUAAAAUUAACAAAAAAAUAAUAAAUAGCUCGAGAAAAAAAAUAAUGAAGUGAAAUAAGAUAAGAAAAAAUGUGUACACCGGCGGAUUUGCUCGCAGGGACGGGCCCAUGUAAGAGGACUAUGUUGUGUUGAGGGGAUAUCUAUAUGAUCCGAUCAAUUGCACAAGCGCUAUAAAAAAUUGGAUUAUGUGUAAGAAGUUGUUGAUAUUCAACAACUCCAAUUGAAGGCUAAUGAUCAUAUGUCUGUAAUGCAUUGAAUCGCCUAGAAUAGGUCCUAUUCUUCUGCCUUUUCCAGGUAGUCGAUGGUUAUUCACAACUACCACCUUAACACCAAAGAAGUGAUCUCUCACCUUUACUUUAGGAUUUAGAUAGCUCAUCUGGCCUAUAAAAUAAAUAUUUUCUUAGCAUGCUAAUAGCGCCUGAGCCAAAUGUAUUUAUUUUGAUUAGGAACCUAUUCUACGGUAACCACUACAAUAAUCAUUAUUUACUUUGCGAGGACGUAGCCUCAGUUCCUUCGGAAAUGACAAGAUCUUUGGCGCAAGCAGAAGGGGCGACCCUCUUAGUUUUUUCCAAAUCCCUCCAGCCCAGGCUUGGCCCAUUUACAUUUUUUCUGUUUAUUUGAACUUCAAAAAUCGGGCGCAUGUGGGAUUCGAUAUCAGGACCUCACGUUCAAAAUUAACCGUGAUAAUCACCUGAUAAAGAUCAACACCCAUGGAUAAUCCUCAAAAAAAAAAAUUCCAUGGCUAACCAUUGUUUUUUUGCUCUUCGUUGUAUGUCAACUUGCAACAGUAAAAAGAGGACUCUGGUUUUUCUUUUUCUUUUGAUUUCUUUUGGCCUGUUUUUCUUUGGUUUCUUAAUAUUUUUUUUCGUAUUUUCUUUUCACCCUUUUUCAAUGCGUGAACUUUUUUCAAAUCUGCGUAUUUGUUUUCAAACGUUGCUAACUUUCUAGUGAACGUUUUUCAAUUUGUAAUGAAAAUUUUCAUAUCUGAGUACUUUUUUCAGUUUUUAAAAAUUUUGUUUAGUGAUUUUUUGUUCAAAAUUUGUGUACAUUUUUCAAAUCAGCGAACCAUUCUUUUCAAAGUCAAUGAUCAUUUUUCAAAUCUGGGAGCUUUUCUUGAAAAUCCGUGAAUUUUCUUCAAAUGCAUGAACUUUUUAAAAUAAUGAUAAUUUUUUUUUCAAACUCGUGAACUUUUUCUUCAAAAUCAAUGAAUUAUUUCCAAAAUAUGUGAACUUCUGUUUAAAUUCUUGAUUUUUUUUCAAACUCAAUGAUGUUUUUUCUUUUCUGUGAAUUGUUUUUCUAAAUUGAUGAACUUUAAACAAAAAAUGAAAGUCUUAUUCAAAUUUGUGAACUAAUCUUCAAAAUCAAUGAUCUUUUUUCAUAUUUAUGAACUUUUCUUCAAAUUGAUGAACAUUUUUCAAAAUACAUGAACCUUUUUCAAAUUCGCAAACCUUUUCGAAUUCAUGAACUUUGCUUAAGUUCACAAACUUUGUACUACUUCACAAACUUUUUUCAUAACAUAUGAAGCUUUUUUUUACCAAAUUUGGAAACUUUUAAAAAGAAAGCCAAUGGAUUUUUCCUAAAACAUGAAACCAACAAGCAAAAGACAAGCAGAAAAAGACAAUGAACAGGACUGGCCAAGCGAGCAGGGAGCAAAGUAGCAACCGAUCAUUUUAUUCAAAAAAAAAUACUUCCUCUGUUCCAAAAUAGAUAACCCAACUUUAUACUAACUUUAGUAUCCAACUUUAUACUAACUUUGUAUUAAAGUUAGUAUAAAGUUGAGUCAUCUAUUUUGGAACGGAGAGAGUAGGAGUGAUCGAUUGAGGGGGAGUGAGCGAACAACAACUGUGAUAUAACGAGGUUGGGCAAGCGUAACUAGGCAAAGGCCCAGGCUGACGCGCGCUAUGCGCUGCUGCGCUAAAUGAUGCAUAAGACGCCUAACAGGAGCUCUCAUGAAGCAGCACUCCUUAUACUGGGAGCUCCUACUCAGCACUUUGAGCAUUGGUUAACUUACUGGCGCUCGCGCUCGCGAUCACUUGGACAGGCCCAUUAGCAUGAGCACUCACUGGCUCGAUCACUCGACAACGGGAUUGCUCGCUCGAUGGGUUCCGCUAAAAGGAUACCGGUAGUUCGGUCGUUCAUUGACAUUUUAACUUUGUUUACCGUGGACUUCACAAAAUUUGAAAAAAAAUCAUCGAUAUUUAUUAGAAAGUUCACAAGUAUCAAAAUGUUCAUUUAUUGUUAAAAAAAGUUCACAAAUUUGUAAUAUUUCAUCGAACUUGAAAAAUAGAUCACAAAUUUGGUAAAAAACCAUCAUUUUUUAAAUUCAUCAAUUUUAAAAAAUGUUCACAAUUUUAGAAAAUACCAUCUAUUUAAAAAUCACAAUUUUUUAAAAAAGUUUAUCAAUUUUGAAAAAUUCACUAACAAAAGUUUGCAAAAUCUGAUAAAAGUUCAUGAAAUUUGAGAAAAUAUUCGUUAAGUUAGAAAAUUUCAAAAAUUUGUUAUCAGUUCAUGAGUUGGAAAAAAAUAAAAAAGGUAAAAAUGAAAGGAAAAACAGAAAACAGAAAAGUAAAAACAAAAUGAAACAGAAAAAGGAAAAUAAAAAGAAUAGCAAAGAUAUAGCAAAAACCGUGUAUGACAAAACAAAAUAAAAAUGCCCAGAAAAUCAAUCUGAACCGGUGGAAAAAAAACUACUUGGGCCAGCCCAUAUUGGAACUAGUAGUGGAGGGGUUCUGCGCCGGUUUGCAAAACAUACUAAAUCCACUCUUAAGGCGCCAUAUAGGAUUUGCUCAUUGUAUUGGAUGUUAGGGCAUCUCCAUUGCAGGGUGCUUGCGUAGACACUUAGAAAAUAAAAAAAAUAUUAAUUAUGGAACUGGCGUCCGUGUGAGAGUCUGUUUCUACAACGCAGGGCUCUUUGUUUCAGCGCUAACCAAAUUAGUUUCCUACUAGCAAAAAAACCCAUGCGUUGCAACGGGAAAGAAAAUAACACACGUUCUUAACCCAAUAACCAUGACUCAAGACCUUAAUAGGCCUGUGCCUUUUAGUUUCACAUGGCAUCACAUUUGUAUUUCCUCUAUACUCACACACUCGCUCGAAAAAAAGCCCGUACAUUACAACGGGAAAGAAAAUAACACACACUCUUAACCCAAUAACCAUGACUCAAGACAUUAAUAGGCCCACGUCUUUUAGUUUCACAUGGCACCACAUUUGUGUUGCCGACAGUGACCUCUGUCCUCACACAAUGAAAACACGUUGGAAUGUGGUUAGUCUUAAUGUCUCUCUCUUUUGCGCGUGCGCACGUGUGCACACUCGCUUGGAAUAAGAUAAAAAGUAUGUUGUUUUUUUUCCCACAAGGUUUUUUAUAGUUGUGUAUGCAUGGUUCUCGAUGUUUUUUUUCUCUCACUCUGGUUUUAAUAGAUGUUUAUUUGCAAUUUGAAUCACCGACGGUACAAAAAAACAGACCAUACACUUUAUAUUAAGUUUGCACCAAAAAUUAUAUUUUAGCAACAUUUAACAGCUAAAAAUAACUUUAUAUUUAGAUUCUACAUAUUUUUCUAAUCAAGUUUCAUAUAUAACAUGUUAAAAUUUAAGUACGGUUUAAAAGAUAUGAAUAAUCUUAUUUUACAUAAGCUGUAGAUUGAUUAACCGAAACGUCAAGGGGUUUUCUGUUAAAACUAAAAAAACGUUUCGGCUGACUUAAAUAUGGAUGGCGGGUUGAUUGUCUAUAACGUCAGGGGGUUUUCUGAGAAAAUGAGAAAAAUGGUUCGGUUAUAACUUAAACGUGUACUGCGGGUUGAUUUACAGAAAAUUGAAGGGUUUAUUUGUAAAAUGGCGUGACGGAUGACCAGAAACAAUUCGUGCUUUAUUAGUAAGUAAGAUAAGAUGUAAAAAUAAUCUCUAGGGUCAGUUAAAAUCGCUCGUACUUGAAAAAAAGGGAUGAGGCGUCCGGCGACUGAACUGGCAUAAAUGCCAGCCAAAAACCUGGCAUCCGAUGGGAUUUAGUGAAAACGGCAAGGAUUUAAUCCAUGGCGCAUGGGCUAAGCGUCUCCAUUGUAGAUGCUCUUAGCGGAAACUAGCAGAGUCAUCCAGGAUCUGGAUCGCAGUUGGGUUGUUUGUCCAAGCCUGUAAAAAGGUUCUAUUACAGCGGGUUUGACAUAUUUGAGAACACUUUUAGUGUUAGCUACUUACGAUAGUCUGGUAGAAUUUUUGUCAACAACCCGAAAAAUUGUGUGAUGGACUCACAAUCAUGCUGAUGUUUCUGUAGUAUUUGCAAAUGUGUAUCAGACCAAGAGAGAAUUGGUGGAGCAAUUUAAUUGAUAGAGUAUUUUUACUUGACGAAGUAGAUUUAGUUGUUGCGGUGGCACAAGUUCGACCUCCGCUAUGACCCCUAUCUCUGGAUUACAAUAAUAAGCAGAGGCUGGUCGUGCAAGAGGUCAAGGUGAUAGUGCACAAGGGCCGAACGUGACGCCCUCAACAGCACAACCCAGGAGCUUGUGCUUCGGAUUACAGUCAUGCCACAAAUAAAAGAACCUUGUUGAAUGUGUAUGAACUUGCAAAAAAAAAAGGUUUAUUUUAGCCAUACUGAUUUUUUGUUGGUCUAUCGGCAGUAGUUUUUAUGAAAGCCGCUCUUUCGGUAUAUUGGCAGUAGUUUUUAUGAUAUAUAUCAAUGUGCGCGUGAUUUCUCGCAUAUUAUUUGCAUAUUAUUCUUGAGCAUGCUCCUAGAGAGACAAAUUUAUGCUGUCCAUGAUUUAUAGAUAAGCUAGUUAGAAGUAAGGUGUGUGCAGUGUGAAUGAAACAUCCAUCGUAAAAUAUACUUUUUUUAGCAGUUGUAAAAGAUACUUUGGUGCUCACUUUGCAAUAAAGAGUGUAAAAUAAUAAUAUUCUGAAUGUCUCGAGGAAGGGCUAGGCCUAUUUUUCUGGUUGAAAUUCAGUAUGGUGUGGCAUCAAUGCAUGACCGCACAGUUCUGCAUCACACAACAGCGCGGCGUAAAUGCACAAGUACUGACGUGUCGAUUCCCCGUCCAACAGUAGCUGCACUUGAUUUAGCUCUGCAUUGGUGCUGGAAGUCUGGAACUACUAAAACACAGUUGCAGCUAGCAGAACGCUACGUACGUACGCAGACCAAAUUCACAGGCCACAUAAACACUUGUAGACACACACUCUCUCUCUCUCACACACACACAACACAGAGAUCACGUGCACGCAGCACACCUAAUACAAGCACGACAUGACAUGUAACCCAGGAUCAAACGAGUCAAACACGUACUUUAAUUAACUGCUAGAGAUCCAAGCUGGCGCGUUGUCGCCUGCCGCUGCAUGCCAGUGCAGCUGGGCAUCAGUCACGAACCCACGCCUAGUGCUUGGCAAGCCCCUCGUUUGCCAUCUUGAAGAGCUGCGCCUGCGCGGCGGCGGCGCGAUCGUCGCCGGAGCUGAGCGCGGCGCCGAACGCGUCCUUCACCUGCGCCGUGGUGAAGGGGAACCCGCUGCUGACCAUGGAGUUGAGCAGCGACGCCGUG
rnacentral:lncRNA from 1 species